rnacentral:lncRNA from 1 species
UUGAAAAUUAUAGAAAUAUAACUUGUUCCUCUUCUUGCUAAUGUUACUAUAUCUUUUUUAUUUCAUUUCAAAAAAAAAAAUUAAUUUUUACUUCAGAUUCUGAUCUUUGAUUCAUAUUCUUAUCUUUGAAAUAAUAAUAUCAUUCAAAUAAGAAAGAAGAGAAAUAUUCGAACUUGAAUCUUUUGUUUUCUAAUUUAAAUAAUGUAAAAAUGGAAUGUAAGUAGGCGAGGGGGCGGAUGUAGCCAAGUGGAUCUUCAUUUAGAAUAUAUCUGGUUGAUAAAAGAGUGGAAAGACUGAAAAGUCCCUUUAAAAAAAUGACUUAAAUUACUAAUCGAGGGCUACGAUGGUUGAAGCAACGGUCCGUCACUAGCCUAAUGGUCGAUCGGAUCGUCCAUCGCACGACGGUUAGAAAAGAACACACUGCCUCAAUGUGACGGUCUCAGUGAUGGUCCAUGGAAAAUUCAACGAUCUUUUGGAAGGUCCGUCGCAUGUUGACCAAGAUAAGUCCAUACUGCCUUAGCGGUGACAAUCUCAGUGAUGGUCCGUCGUCCUGGCCGUCACACUUAAGAUAGAAAAGAGAGUUAUUGCCUUGGUUGUGAUGGUCCAAGCGAUGGUCCGUCGUACACUCGAUGGUCCAUCAACCUAUCCAUCACACCUAGGUGGUUCCAACAACUCUCGAUAAAACGACCAUAACUUCCCACCCUAAUGAUUGAUUUGACCGAAAUUGGUAUCGUUGGAAAGAUAAUUCAAUGCUCUACAUGAAAAAAAGUCAAAUUUAAAAAAAUUCUAUAUGGUUAAUUAAACACCAAUCACUUAGGAUGUUUUUACUCAAUAUAACAGGGCCGGAAUUACACUUUACUUGACACGCUCAAGGCUCAAAUUACAAGAGAACUUUGUGGGGUCUUACAAUUAUCUCCCUUUGAAACAUUCGUCCUUGAAUGUCGAUAGUUAGACUAGGAACACAGGAAAACAGAGUACACAUAGCUAAAGAAAUUAGCUAAACAGGCUCAAAAUCUUUCUAAACUAUUAAAUACCUUGGAAAUUACAAGAACUCAUGCAAGAAUAGAUAUAUAGAUGAACUUUAGAUUAGAAGGGAUGAAUUAAGGAAGAAUAAUACCUUCGGAUCGAUCUGAACUCGCAGAAAAGAGGUGCGAGUACUUGGCUCGCAUGUCUACUUUUGUCUCCCAAGUAGCACCCUCAACUGACUGGUUCCGCCAUAAAACUUUGACCAAGGGAACCUCUUUUUUCCUCAGCCUAUGGAUCUGAAAAUUUAGGAUCUCAAAAGGAAUAUCAUCGAAGGAAAUACUAUUCUAAAUAUCAGCACUCUCUAAGGGAUCUACUACAACAGAAUCACCAAUAUGCUUUUUAAGCAUGGAAACAUGAAAAAUAGGAUGAAUGACUGAUAACUCCACAGGCAACUCAACCUCAUAGGCUACUUUCCCAACACGGCUCAAAACUCUAUACGAGCCAACAUAACGGGGACAAAACUUUUCCUUUUUACCAAACUUCUUCACCUCUUUCAUGGGUGAAAUCUUCAAGUACACCAAAUCACCUACUUCAAACUCAAGAUCGCUUCUCCUCAUAGCGGCAUAUGACUUUUGACGACUCUGAGUUGUCUUUAACCUCUCUCUAAUCAACUUAACUUUCUCUAUAGCUUCAAAAACUACAUGAGGUCCAAUCACGACAGCUUCACCCACUUUAAAGCAACCUUCUACAUCUUCUACCAUACAAGGCCUUAACUGGUGCCAUUCCGAUGCUAGAUGGGUAACUAUUGUUAUAGGUAAACUCUAUUAAUGGCAAAUGCUCAUCCCAACUACCUUUGCAAUCAAGACCACACACCCUCAACAUAUUUUCUAGGGUCUGAAUUGUCCUCUUACUAGACCAUAUUUUUGCGGAUGAAAAGCAGAACUCAAAAGAAUUGGGUACUAAGACAAUGCUGAAACGCCCUCCAAAACUGAGAAGUAAAUUGAGUACCCCUAUAUGAAAUGAUAGACGAGGUAACUCCAUGCAUCUUGACUAACUCCUAGAUAUAUAAUCUAGCAUAAUCCUCCACUGUAUAAGAUGUAUGCAUGGGAAAAAGUGUACGAACUUAGUCAGCCUAUCUAUAAUAACCCAAAUAGAAUCAUGAUGACGACACGAAAGAGGUAACCCGAUCACGAAGUCCAUAUUCACUACCUCCUAUUUCCAAGUGGGUAUACUAAACUCUUGCAUCACACCACCAGGUCUUUGGUGCUCUACCUUAAAAUGUUGGCAUGUUGCACACAUUUUUACAAACUCAGCUAUAUCCUUCUUUAUAACAUUCCACCAAUAGAUUUCCCAUAAGUCGUGGUACAUUUUGGUAGUGCCGGGAUGAAUAGAGUACCGCGCGCCAUGCACUUCAGCCAUAAUCCUCUUCUUCAUAUCAUCAACACAUGGAACGUAUAAUCUACCCUGCAAUCUCAACACGGUAUCUCCCCAUUGGGAGAAAAUCUCUACCUUUUGGCCCUUAACUGUCUCUUUCAGUCUGACCAAACUAAGAUCUCUAUCUUGCUUCUCCUUCACUUUCGAAACUAAAGAGGAUUCAAAACUACUUUGCACCAAAGCACUUCCCUCAGCUGAAUCAAGCAACCUAAUAUCCAAUCUAGCUAGAAAAUGCAUAUCACAAGCUAAAUCUUUCUUACCUUCCUCUACAUGAGCAACACUACCCAUACACAAUCUGCUAAGGGCAUCCGCCACUAUAUUGACCUUGCUCGGGUGAUACAACACACUCAUAUCAUAGUCUUUUAACAACUCUAACCACCUGCUCUACCUAAGAUUCAACUCCCUCUGAGGAAACACGUACUGCAGGCUCUUAUGAUCAGUAAACAUAUCAACAUGAACACUAUAAAGAUAGUGUCUCCAGAUUGUCAAAGAAAAAACCACAGCAGCUAACUCAAGAUCAUGGGUUGGGUAAUUCUUCUCAUGCAGCUUUAAUUGUCUAGAGGCAUAGGCUAUAACCUUACCUCUUUGCAUCAACAUACAACCCAAACCAGCUCUAGAGGCAUCACAAUACACUAUAAAACCAUCUUUACCAUUAGGCAAAGUCAACACAGGGGCUGAAGUAAGUCGAGUCUUCAGCUCUAGAAAACUCUUCUGAUAGGAAUUUGACCACUUGAACUUAACUUUCUUUUGGGUCAACAGGGUCAUGAAAGAUGUAAUAGAAGAGAAACCUUCAUCAAGAUAGCGGUAAUAGCCUGCUAGACCUACGAAAUUUCUAAUGUCAGACGGAGAGAUAGAUCUAGGCCAAUUUCUUACAGCUUUUAUCCUUUAGGAAUCAACUCAAAUACCUUCGGCUGAAACAAUAUGACCCAGAAAGGCUACAGAACUUAGCCAAAAUUCACACUUACUGAAUUUGGCGAACAACUGGUGACCUCUAAGAGUUUGCAAGACAAUUAUAAGGUGAUCUGCAUGAUCAUGCUUAUUGUGGGAGUAGACAAGGAUGUCAUCUAUGAACACUAUGAAAAAUAUAUCAAAAUAUUGCUUGAACACUCGAUUCAUGAGGUCCAUAAAAGUUAUUGGGGCAUUGGUUAGCCUAAAAGACAUGACUAGAAACUCAAAGUGACCAUAGCUGGUUUGGAAGGCUGUCUUUGGAAUAUUACAUUCCCUCACUAUAAGUUGAUGAUAGCCAGAUCUAAGGUCUAUCUUGGAGAAAUAACUUGCACCUUGAAACUGAUCAAACAGGUUAUCAAUUCUCGGAAGGGGAUAUUUAUUUUUAACUAUGACCUUGUUAAGCUUACGAUAGUCAACGCACAUAUGCAAAGAACCAUCUUUCUUUCGUAUGAAUAAAAUUGGUACGCCCCAAGGAGAAAUACUGGGCCUUAUAAAACCUUUGUCUAAAAGAUCUUUGAGUUGCUCUUUCAACUCCUUAAGAUCAGAAGUUGCCAUACGGUAUGGCAGAAUAGAAAUAGGCUGAUUUUCAAGAAAAAAGUUAAUCCCAAAUUCUAUCUCUCCAUCGGGAGGUACCCUUGGGAUAUCUUCCGACAAAAUAGCUAGAAACUCAUUAACAAUGUUGACUGACUGAAUAGUUGGAGCCUCAAACUUAGUGUCUUUUACUCUAACUAGUUGAUAGAUGUAACCUUUGGAUAUUUCCUUUUUAGCUUUGAGAUAGGAGAUAAAAUGACUCUUGGGAGAUACCAAACUCCCAGACCACUCAAAAAUUGGUUCAUCAGGAAACUGAAACUUGGCCACAUAGGUAUGAUAGUUUAUAGAUACAUAACAAGAAUGAAGCCAAUCCAUAUCCAGAAUAAGCUCAAAAUCCACCAUGUCUAACUGUAUCAAAUCAACAUGUAUGACUCUAUGAAGAACAGUAACAGGAAAACCUCUAUACACUUGUUUAGGGACAACUGACUCCCCUAUAGGUGUAGAAACGAGGAAAGGCUCUGGGAUCUUUUUGAGAUUCAUUUUGAAAUUCACAGCCAUAAGUAGGGUCACAUAGGAGGGACUUGACCCGGGGUCCAACAACACAUAAACAUCAAAACAAAUAACACGAAACAUACCAGUAACAACAUUGUGAGACUCCUUCUGCUCCUAACGAGAUGGUAAGGCAUAGAGUCUGUUCUGGCGCUGACCGCCAGUAGUGCAAGAUAAAGCACCCUGAACAGGGGUGGUAGAAGGGCCAGAAGCUAGUGGACUAGUAGCCGCUGCCUAAGGUCGGGCAUCUAUGGUCCCCUACCUAGCAUACGGGCAAUGUCUAAGUCUAUGGCCUAGCUUUCCACAACCAAGAAAAGCCCUUAAAUCUAUGAAACACUCACUAGGAUAAUCCCUACCACACUUACCACAAGGAGGAUAACAGGGCCUGUUACCAACACUGUUCUGCAACCUAGACAUAAAAGACCUACUCCCUUGUUCCUGCCUUCCUCUUAUUAUUAAUAAUUAUAAUUGAGAAGGAUUUUUUGUAGCCACGACUUUGGUCGUAGUAAGUUUAAACCCAUAAACCCAGUCCACUUGCAUUUUGGCUCAACUUUAUCCCAGUUUUGCCGAGGGAGCAACCCCAUUUUUCAAGGCAUGGGAGCACUAGCUAAUGAAGGUGAUAGAAUAGAUGAACAUCUCUAAAACUGAGGGAGGUUCCCUCCAUAGAACCUAGGAUGACUAUACUCAUGCUGCUCAGAUCUAGCUCUCUUGUUACCCCUUACUCUCUCUCUGUCUAAUCUUAUCCACUUUUAUCUACUGUGCAUGCAUUAUCAACCUAGACAAAUCCAUAUCCCUAUAUAGCAUCGCAGUCCUACACUCUUUCCGCACCAACCGAGAAACAUCUAUCAUGAACUUGCUCAUACUAGUGCGGGUGUCAGAAAUUAAAUCAGGAGCAUCUUGGCCAACUGGUUAAACUUCAAGUAGUACUUCUUAACAGUCAUGGAGCCCUUCCUCAAGUGCAUAAACUCCUCAAUAUUUGCUUCCAUUAUCUAAAGCAGAAAGAACUUUUCCAAGAAUGCAUCUUGGAACACCUGCCAAGUCAUAGGAGUAGUAUCCUCACCUUGACCCUUCCUCUAUGAUACAAUCCAAUUAUAAGCUAUGUCAUUCAACUUGUAAGAUGCCAACUCAACACUUUUUUCCUUAGAAAUAUGCAUCACUUGCAUGAUCUUUCUCACCUCCUCAAGGUACAACUAUGGGUACUCACCUUCCCUGGACCCAUAUAACUCUGGAGAAUUCAUCCGCAUGAAAUCACAGAUCCUAGAAGUAGUUACAUCACCUCCCUGCUGAUUUAUAACUACGGCCUAGUUAUUGGCCUUAACAUUAGCGGUGACUGCAUGUGCUAACGCCUUAAAGGCUACUCGAAACUCAAUAUGAGACACAGUCUCAUUCAAAGGAUCAACAGGUGGGGGUUGUUCAUCAUUGUUUCCAUGGGCAUUUGCUCUUUGGAGAGGAAUUUUCUAAAAUAGGAGAGUACAAAUUAUUAGAUGAGAGAGACAACCGUAGGCACGAUAGAAUCUAAAAGAGAGAAAUAACUUUUCCUAAAAUAUUUUGUAGCCUCAUAUUUUGUAGCCACUUUCUCAUAGAUGUGCCGUGCUACACACUGAUGAUCAAGACUCUACUCAACGCGACUUGUCAAAAUCCCUAGGACUUUUUAAAAACCUUAUGCUUUGAUACUAAGUUUGUAACGACCAAAAAUCACCUCCCGGGAAGUCACACGGUGCUUAGGUCUACAAGUAGCCCCAAGUUAACCCUUUGAGCCUAUCACUGCUCAUAAUAACUCAUUCAAGAAGAAAUAUACAAAACAUCAUCACUAUUAUAUCAAAUAAAAGGAAAUACGAAGGUAAUACUCAGUCUAAAUGACCACAAUACUGGAAAUUUCAACACAGCCACAGUCUGAUAACUAGUUUAACAAAUCCUCUAUUACUCCAUAAACUCAAGAGCUAUUAGGACAUGUCCUAAACUAAUCAAACUGAAUUGAAAGUAAUAACAUCAACACUUGAAUACUAAAAUAUCUGAAGAAAUGUCCUCGUACCAUGAGGACUUACCACUAUAGAAUAGUAGAUGAAGGUACUUGAAAAUCACUAACGAGGCUGGGACUGAGCACCUGAACCUACAUUAUAAGACAAUAUAGCACAUAGACAUAUAUGUGGAUCAACACUUAGAAAUGUACUGAGUAUAUGGGGGUGUAUGCAUUUACAUAAAGCAAUAUCAAUACCCUUUAAUCAAAUCAUGCAUACAAAUAGGAAUGAAUCACAUGGCUCUAAUAAUUCUAAAAUGUAAAGCUCAUAAAUCAUUUAGAAUGAAGCAUGCAACACAAAUCUCAUGAGUCAUUAUACUUUGGCUUUAAAAUUUGUGCUCUCCUCUUAUUCUCAUUACUCAUAGGAUGAAGGACGCUUUAAAAAAUAUUUUCAACUCACGCAUAUAUCUCAUGGAGAGUAAACCUUCUUUUUUGCUCAAGAACUUAUAACACUUUUGAACUCAAACACUCGGAACUCGGAAUCAUGACUUUGGUUUAAAAACGGAUGAUCAACUCUUAUUAGUAGAUAAAAUUACUUCCUUCUAUGGAAAAUACUCAAAAGAAAUUUUUCACUUUAGAAAAUAUCUCAUCUCAAAGCUUUAGGGGAAAUAUUUUAUCUCAAUGGAAAAUACUUUAGUUUAGGGAUGUUCUCUUAACCGACAUAAACCAUGCGAGCUACAUAGAGUCCAAUGUCUUGUCCUCCUAAGGAAGAAACCUCACGUUGGGGAGAGACAUCAUACUCUUGCCAAGGAGUAUAACCUCAACUUAGUGAUCACUUAUCUCAGCCUCAGGCCUAAAAUCUCAAACCUAUGGUGGCACUUAGUUUUAGGGUAAGAAACUGUGGUAACUUACCCAACUAGGUGCUAAAUACUACUCCCUUUAGUUUAUCUAACUCAUCUCAUAGAAAUCCACAUUCAAAAUAAUCUCAUGGUUCAUAAGAACCCAAUAAUCAAAUAUGUAAUCUCAUAUGGUAGAGUGGAUUUCAAAACUCUAUGACCUUUAGGUCAAAACAUUUCUCAUUAAUCUCAAAAUUCUUAAAUCAUGGGUGCUUAUAGAACAAUGGUUCAUAAAAUUGCAAGUGUCAAGUAGGGGUUAAUGACCCAUAAUUCAAUCUCAAGUUAAAACUUAUCAUAAUGCAUAAUAGAUAGUAUAUAGAUUCAUAAUUCAUGAAAAAAUCUGGAAGUUACAACAAUUUGUCUUAGAAUAUCAACAUACUCAUAUACUUCAAUUUGUAGAACAUUGAAACUCUUAAAUUCUCAAGGAGUCACAACAUAGGGUAUAAACCUAGCUUUAAUUUAUUAAGAAAACAUGCAAAAUCAUGUUAUUUGACUUUCAAUUCAUGGGAAACAUCAAAAUAUUGCAAUCAAUAACAAUGGGUGAAAAACCCUAAUUCAAUAUCAUGUAAAAUCUCAUAGAUUGCGGAAAAUUAUAGUUUAAAUAAGCCUUUGGGCACAAAGGUGAAAGUAUGACCCUUGUUCAAAACCCCACAUACCUUAGAUUAUGAAAUGAGAUGAAUAAGCUUACUUCAAACUCCUCUUAUUACUCUUGAGAGAGGUUUGUUGCAACCCUUGAACUUGAAGAACUUAAAUCUCAACUCAAUUUGAAGAAUCUAUGGUGAGUUCUUAGAUUUAUUAGAGAAGGGUUUUAGAUUUGAUCUUGAGGGAGAAACCUUAGCUCUCUUAUGUUUUGAGAUGAUGAAUGAAGUCAUUAGCUUUGUUUAGAAUAUAUCUGGUUGGUAAAAGAGUGGAAAGACCGAAAAGUCCCUUUAAAAAAAUUACAUAAAAUACUGAUCGGGGGUUGGGAUGAUCGAAAAGACAGUCCGUCGCUAGCUUGACGGUCCGUCGAUUGUCCAUUGCACGUCGGUCAGAAAAUAAUACACCUCCUCAAUGUAAUGGUCUCAUUGAUGGUCCAUCAUAUACUCGAUGGUCUGUCGGAUCAUCCAUCGCAUGUUGACCAAGAUGAGGUCACACUGCCUCAGCGUCGACGGUCUGUCACAGUCUUAACUGUCUGUAAUCCUGACCCUCGUACUUUGGGACAGAAAAGGGAGUUACUACCUUGGUUGCGAUGGUACAAGAAAUGGUCCAUCAUACACUUGACAUUCCGUCAAUCUGUCCAUCUUACCUAGAUAGUUCCAACAACUCUCGAUAAAACGGCCAUAACUUCCCACCCUAAUGCCGGAUUUGGAUGAAAUUGGUAUCGUUGGAAAGCUAAUUCAAUGCUCGAUAUGAAAAAAAGUCAAAAUUAAUAAAAUUAUAUAUAGUUUAAAUACCAAUCACUUGGAUAGUAUCUUCUCAAUAUUUUAGGGCUGGAAUUACACUUCACUUUACACAUUCAAGGCUCAAACUACAGGGGAACUUUGCCUAGUCAUACACAACCCCUCAUAGAAAAAUUACAUGGUGACUGAGUAGGAGUUACUAAUGGUGGUGUUUGAAUUUCAUAAUUUCCAGUCAUAUCUAAUUGGUACCAAAGUCAUUGUGCAGACCAAUUUUGUAGCCCUUAGGUAUCUUAUGUCAGAUGCUAAGUCCAAUUUUAUUCGAUGGGUACCAUUGUUGCAAGAAUUUGACUUUGAGGUUAAGGAUUAAAAAGCAUAGAAAAUCAGGUUGUGGAUCAUCUAUUCCACCUAGAAGAGGAGGCGAUGCUUGAGCUAAGGGAUGAUCUUGAGAUUGAUGAUCCUUUUCCAGAUGAGCGCGUCUUAACAACAUCACAAAACUUAAUCCCCUAGUUUUCUGACUUUGCCAAUUAUUUGGGAAGUGACCUUUUUUUGGAAACACUUGUUGUUUCAGCUACGAAAAUGAUUUAUGCUUCAGGUAUGUAAGUUCUUUUUGAAUGAGCCUUACUUAUUUUGGGUUUCUAUGGAUGGUGUGAUUCCUAGAUGUAUUCUUGAAGUGGAGAUAAUAAGUAUUUUGGUGGCCUAUCAUUCAUCACCGAUUGGGGGUCACCAUGAUAGUACUCGUACGGCCCAUAAUAUUUUGUAAUGUGGUUAUUACUAGCUGACAAUUUACAAAGAUGCAUAUGACUAUACUUGGGCCUAUGACCAAUGUCAGAGGAAGGGCAAUAUCUCAUGGAAAAAUGAGCUCUCUAUGACAUCGAUUCUUGAGCUAGAGUUACUUUAUGUAUGGGGUAUUGACUUUAUGAGUUUGUUUAUGAUUUUUCAUGGUAUAAAGUACAUAUUAGUUGCAGUCAACUAUAUGUAUAAGUGGGUGGAAGAAGUUUCACUCCCAAUAAUGAUGGUGAUGUAUCACUGCAUUUUUGAAGAAGAAUUUUUUCUCUCAAUUCGGUACCACAUGAGCCAUCAUUAGUGAUAGUGGGUCCAAUUUUUUCAAUGGUUUAUUGAUAAUGCUCAACUUACACGUCAAUUUGGGUGCAAGGUGGUCCUCAUUAAUAUAUUUACCCAACUUUGGAGUCGGGGUUGAAUCCAUGAGGAACAAUGUGAGUGGCAAUCAAAUUAAUUUGAAAUAACAGUUACAAGUUAAAUUCAAACAAAUGGUACAAAAAGAUAAAAUGUGGGAGGUGAGUUCCUACACUAAUGUUUCAUUUUGGGAUUUUCUUGUAUAAAUUUAGGGCUACGAAUAAUUAUAGUUAUAGCAAUUAUGAAUGGAUCUUGGGAUUACGCAUUACUAAGAGAGUGACAUGUGGGAGUUAGUCAUCAACAUCGAUUUAGUAGGUCAAAUAUGGGUAGGUUUGGUUAUAGAUUCUGAUGCUAGUCUUUCAACAAAACACCAGACUUUCACCCAUUGAUCCUUUAGAAUACCUAAUGGGUGUGUUCAAUAAUUAGCAACCAAAACCUCAAUUAAGGUAUCCCUAUUUCUAGGAUGACACUCAUGGCAUAGUUAACCUCACUUUCACUGUUAUUUCUAAGAUAGUGAUAAUUUAGCAAACUACACACAUAAUUGCCUAUUAUUGCUUUGGUCUCCAUAUACUUCUUUUGAGGAUGAUAUAGAUUCCUAAUCUUCACCCAAAAUCCUUCUUUCAAAGAUAGCCUUGGAUUUUCUAGAUCUUGGAUCUUUUACCCAUCAAACCCUUGUGGGUAUUUAGAGCUUUCACCCAAAAAAUCCCAACCAAACUAGCAUAGCAAUAAUAGAACGCAUAAACAUGAACUACCAAAUAGAUGCUAACAAUAACAACCCAGACACACUUUAAUCCCUAUUCACACAUAACCCCAAGAGUGAGAUUUAGCUACAUAUAAGAUAAAUAAGCAUAGAUAUACCCAUAAUCACCAUUAAAUAAAUUUGUGGUAGAUCGAAGAAAAUUUUACUUCAAACUUGGUUCUUCCAUAAUAUAAACAUUGGAAGUGAGAUAAUCUUCCACUUGUAAAGUCUCCAAUGUAUUCUUCACCUAAAAUUUAAACAAUAUUUUCUUCUCCAAAAAUGGAGUCUACAAAACCCUAAGUUAAACUAGAGGAAUAUUGGGGAAGAAGAAAUGUGAUGGAAUGAAUCCUACAUCAAUUAGGGUUUAUGGAAUGAAUCCUACAUCAAUUAGGGUUUUAGUGUUUUUGUUCAAAUUGGGAUCAACACAUGUAAUUAUAGUAUUGCUCUUGGUAUGAACAUUUCCGCCAAGCUAUGAUCGCAUAAGUAUGGCUGCGACCUUGACUACACAACCAGGAUUGACUUUUGCUCUCGCGGUUGAUUGACCAUCUUGACUGAACACGAUCGCGGCCCAUGGACCGCAACAGCGGUAACUGAGUCUAGUUUACUGCAAGUCUUUAGCUGUAUUUUUCUACUCCUUUUUGAUCAUUUCAAGCUCCAAUCCACAUCUCUUUGUCUUUACAACUCCUAUACCUGCAACGAGUGGAUAUCAGUACAUUAAAUCACAGUUAUGACUUAUUUACUCAUUUGAGACAAGGUAAUGUGCACAAAAAAUAAGUGUGAAUAAGUGGUAAAAUCACUAAUCAUCAACACCGCCAACUUAAGACCUUGCUUGUCCUCAAGCAACACUACCUGUUUUCCAUGAGCCACAAUUAUUUAUGCCCAAAUUGUAUGUCUUAAAGUCCAUAAUGGUUCCAACUUGAAUUGCAACCAUAAAUAGCUCAUUGGACACGUGCUAGACUAAUUUUACAAACCCCUCAUUAUAGAAUACAAUACUCAAAGAAUGCAGAAGACUUUGAAGAGUAAUAAAACAAUAAAAACCAAUACUCUAGAAGUAGCUCACCUUUUGACUAAAACUAAAGCAUACUCCAGUUGCCUCAUUAUCCGGGAUGUGAGAAAAAUUACUCACCUCAACUUGUUUUCUUGCCCAUCUCACAAGAAAGAAAAGUUUCACACACCAAACUACCGAACAAGUAACAAGGAAUUUUUAAGUGCAAAAUUCUCCCCUCACAAAAGAAAUCUCAACGCAACAAGUGUCAUGCCAUAGGGUUGCCCUUAUUUUCAAUCACCACUACAAAGAAGGUAAAAUUUUGGAGAUCUCGAAGGACUUUAUAAGCUUGUAACGUAGGUUCUGGUCAGGGUAGGAUAACAUUUAGGUAACUAGGUUACACCAUACCUUGAACAUCUACAUCACACUUUACAACUCUCCUCCUUUCGACUUUGGGCCACUCUAUUUUUCUUUAUUUCUUUGUUCAUGCCUAUCUUUUGCCUCCUUCUCCCCACUUUUAUUUUACUUUUAUUUCCAUGCAUUUUCUGACAUUUAUUUUAUGGGUACUUAUUAUUCCCAUACAUAAUUUUUUGAACAUCACUAAAAUCCAUAACAAAAUUUAUGGUAUAUAUAGAAGACUAAAACUAGAAAUAAAAGAAAAACAUGAUAAUCCAUAAAACUUGGGAACCAUCCGAAUACCUAAAAAUAUAGCAUCCAAAGGAAAACAUGAGAAAAAAUAUCCAAAACAUUAUCAAAAGAAAUAUCCAGCAAUAUAACACCAAACAAUAUAGAAUCUGGUGUCAGCCCCUACUUAAAUAAAUGCAGUGUCCAUAUUGCAUAUGCAAGAAGGAAGAGUAAAAAGGGCUCCCUAUAUCUAUAUCAUGAGCUAUCUCCUCCUAUAGACUCUGUAUUAUCAGAUAACCAUUCUGCAGGGGCAUCAUCCACACUAUCAACUCUUAGUGAAGGUAUUAGUUGGUUGGGUUUGAGAACCUUGAAUAUGCCUUUCACCCCUUCAAUAGCCUUUUGAAAAAAUUUAUCCCUCUUUUUCUCCUUCUUCACCAUCUCAUUAUGUGAGUCUUUUAGGCUCCUAUGGGAUUUAGCUAGGGAUGAAUAAGCUCUCUCCAAGAUGAAAACUAUGGUACCCUGCUUCUUCUACUCUUUUAUAUACUUAUCAUAAUCUGAUUAUGCCACAUAUGAAUGAUGAGUAGUGGAGGACUCUCCUAGUCCCUGAGGUAAUCGAGAAAAUAUCUUUCUUAUCCCCUAUAUUUGAACAGAAAUAUCAUCGAAGGCAAUCACUGAUGAGGGUCUUCAAGAGUGUUUGAACUCUUGGACUAAUUUGCCUAAGUCCAUCUUACUUUUCUUACUCGUAACUGGUGUGCCAAAACCUCUGAAUUUGAGUAGAUAGAUGACAGAGACAGGGAAUACCUAAGUGUCUAUAAUGUACUCCUCUACUUCUGAUCUCCUAGAUAAUUCAAUGAUAAAAGAUUGAAAAAGUAGAUAGGUACCUCCCUAGUUCUUAAAGUUUCACCACUCAGAGAUAGCAAUCUCACCUAUAUUCAGAGCAAUGCCAGAUAAGAUGCAUACUACCAUCCUAGCUCCCAUAUCUGUGAUAGUGGCCAUGAGUGUGUAUGGUGAGACUUUGCUAUAGAUGAUGCCAGCCACAGCCUGGCUUCAGCCUUGAAAUCCUUCAUCAAACUAUCUCAUUUGGUGAUGGCCCAUGGGACUUCCUUUCCAGUACAAAAUAUACCAAUCAUCCAAGUCCCAGGAUCGCAUACUUUGGCAUCAAACUCUCUCAUGUCAGUAUUUGGCAUCCCAUAAAUUGCAUUAAUUUGUACUGCUCUAAAGUGGACCUAUUUACCUGGAAUUUUCAUAACUGGGUUUAUGAGGGAGACUACAAAGAUGUUUUCUAUGACACCCUAAUUUUUUUGAACUAGAACACUACACGUAGCUUAUGAUCCUAAAGGACCACAAGCUAACCCAUGACUAAUAUUUGUACCUGUGCACUGCAUAAUAUAUAACUAUAAAUGUGAAAACAUAAACGGAAAGGCCAUAAGGUUCAAUACUAAACAUAAUCUAAAUAAUAACAAUGUCUGAAUAAAGUGGUAUAAUAAUACCAAAACAAAACUAAAAUCUAGACUGAAAGCCUCCAACUAUCUGAAGGAGGGAGUGGAAGGAAUAUGUCUCCAACUAACUCACGACUACUGAAAGCCAAACUAAAAUAAUGAGGUAAUAAAGUAGUAAUCAUGUCCUCAAAGAAUGAGGACUCACUGCUAACUCUGAUUACUGAAAUCUGCAAUACUACUGCUACUCUGAAACUCGCACCUCUAAACUAUGGCAUAAAAUAAAACACCAUAGCAUAAAUACAUCGGUACGACUGAAUAUACUAGGUAUACGAGUGAGGUAGGCUAAUUUCAAAGGGUUUAUAUGCAUGAACAAUGCUUACUAAUAUGAACAUGAGAAUACAUACAUGCAUAAAUAACUAUAACUGAACUUGUGGUGAUACUAACUACUGAGUCUGAAUGCUGACAAUAUGAGUGUACUGAUACUGAGAUACUGAAUGACUGAGUUCACUGGUAUUUAUAUGUAAGUAACUACUAAGUAAGGAACUGAUCCUGUAUUACUGAAUAGAUGAACGAUUAUUUCUAACAGUUUAAAUUAUAAAGAACUGGUCUGAUUGACUGUGUCCAACAAUCCUAAAACUGAAAGCUGAUAACAUAAGUUAUGAUGGAUGAUAUAACUGAUAUGACUGUGAUAAUCGGCAUAAACAAAGUAACUGAUGUUGAGAAAAUGUAUCUAACAGUCUAAGUUCUGAUGAAACUAUCUUAGUUUUGUUCUGUAUGGAGUAACUGAAUCUGAGAUCAGUCCUAUCUAGUGGGUGAUCUCUGAGUAUAAUGAUAACAAAGAUGAUUUGACUUAGUCUGAGAUCAGUACUACCUAGAGGGUAAUCUCUAAAUCUGAUGAUACUAAUACUAAUUGACUAUAGUUAAGGUCAGUCCUAUCUAGUGAGUGAUCCCAAAGUCUAUUGAUAAUGAUAGGGAUUGACUGUAUCUGACAAUCCUGAAUCUAUAACUAAAACUGUGGGAUGUAUUCAUCUAACUGAUAUGCCCCUUUUUAUCUAGUCUGGGGUCUAAUCUAUAACCCCAGUUGGAAGGGUGUCACUACUGCACCACUGGUAAAGACAACUAUUAUGGAGUCAGUCCUAACUUAGCGGAUGACCCCUGGGAUCAGUUCUAUACAUUUAAAUAUGCUAACGGGUGAUCUCUGAGUAUGUCAGUCCUAUCUAAUAGGUGAUAUCUCAUACCUAUGCUGGGUAUGUAGUUCUGGAACUUUGGGAUUGCUUCUAGGGAUCUCAGUCCUAUCUAGCGGGUGAGUCACCAACUCUAGGCUCGCUUGGUGCUGAAUCUACUCCCAUAAAAAAGACACUGAACUAAUUAAUUGAGAUGAACUAAUUAACUAAACUAAAUUAAUUAGCUGAACUAAACUAAUUAGUUAUACUGAUACUAGUGGUUUGGUUUAGCUGAGUUAAACUGUGUUUAUUGAGUUCUGUUGAUAGAUAGAAUGUACUAAUGUAUGAGGACUGACUGAGAGUAAUGUAGUUACUGAGAUUUUACUUGGAAUCCUGAAAUCACUGAGAUUACUGAACUACUGAGAUUUUCUAAGAUUUCCUGAGUCACAUGGUUGACUGAUUUCUAUGGAUCAUGGCUUGAUUGAGAGUAUCGUGAAAAUAUGACAUGGAUCUAGGCACACAUAAUAUUUUGGGUACUAGUACCCCCAAGACCCGAUAAAAGAAAACUAUCAAAGCAUGACUUGCUUGAAUAUAUAAUAAUCAUCAUAAUACAAUUACUGAAGCAUUUUAUCAAACAUGUGAUAGGCAUAAGAUUGUACAUACAUGGGGAUUUCAUGAUAUCAUACUAAUUAGACACUUUUCCAUCAUCUAGGCAUUUAAUCAAACAAGUGGUAAUCAUAGAAUGUGUAAACAACAUCAUAAAACAAUUAACUAUCAUGAUUCAAUUCUAAUUUAGUCAUUCAAGGGUUUAGUCAUAGGAUUUCAUGAAUCUAUACCUAUACAAAUCAACCCAUAUGGAAUUCAACACUCAUUUAUGUAAUACAAUUCAAUUACUCAUUUUCAACAUGAACAAAAGCAGACCAAUCAUGAAAUUCAUAAGAAAAUCCAUAACUUGAAUUUAGAAAAGAGAUUCUUGGUCUUCAUAGAUGAAAAGAGUCCAUGAAUAAAUACUAUGCAUACCUGGGAUAAGAUUCUUGAUGGUCUUGAACUUGAAGAAUUGGAAUUCCCUUAGUUCUUAAAGAAGAUUAGAUUUUGUUCUUGGAGAUUAAUGUUAGGGAGAAACCCUAAUCUUGUUUGAAAAUUGACCUUUCUUGAAUAUUCUUGGUUUGGGAAUCUUAAUUCUUGAAUAUCUUGUGGAGAGUGUGAUGGGAUCUUGAAGUUAAUUGAGAAGAAACCCUAAGUUUGUUCUUGGGAACAAAGAGGGUUAAGAGCUUUAGAAACUAAAUACCAGUAGCUAAAUACGUGUUUUUGGUUUUUUAUAUCAUGGGGUAAUGUUUUGGUUGAGGGAAAAAUACCAAAAUACCCCUACAAACUUACUUUCUAGUUGCUGAAAUUAUAAGCUGACGACAUGGGUUGAUAAGCCGUGAGGUUUGUGAUAGCCCCUCAUCCCAGGUCGUCACCUAGGACCUGAAAUUGAUGGGUUGAUGUUUAAGCUUGACAACAUUAGCUGAUAAGUCAUCAGAAAUGUGAUAAGCUAUCAGAUAGGUCGACAAAAAUAUGAUAAGCCUGAAGACAGGUCAUCAGAAAUGUGAUAAGCCAUCAGACAGGUCGUCACUUAGUUUCCAGGCUGACAUGCUGGAAUAAAAUAGGUAUAACAUUUUGCUCCAAUAUUAAAUUUUUGAAAAAUUGGUAUCAUUCCUAAGAUAAUUCAAUUAUAUAUAUUUUCUUGGGUCAUGUGCUCAAAAAUUUGUUUUACAAUGAGAGAUAUGAUAAUUUUAAAUUUACUAUAGCAAUAUCCUUUCCAAGAAUUCAAUUGGUAAGGAUUAUUUUGAUUCGUCUGAUAGCUGGGAGUUAUUUGAAGCCUUAAUAUACAUCAAACUUACUCAUAAAACUAUAAAUGAAUCAUGAUGUACUAUGACUGAGAUUGAAAAAUGGUGCUAAUAUUGAUUUGGAUUUUUUAGGUUAUUACAGUAUCUCCCCUUUGGGAACAUUUAUCCUCGAAUGAGAUUGACUGAGAGGGAAGGAUUGAUAGACUGAACACGAACUUAACAUGAAUAACUGAAACAUGAUCUCAUGAUUGACAUGACUAAUAAACUAACCAAUCAUACUAAACAUGCAUAGCUGAUGCAUGUGUAACUAAUUCGUGAAUGCAUGGUUGAGGUUUCUGAUAACUGAAGUUCUCGCAAUAAGAAUGCAUAUCUAAUGCAUGAUUAUAUAACUGAAGUGGCACAUGUAUGCAUGACUAAAUAUCCAAUUUUACUUGAUAUCAAGUGUAUGAUGUAAUCCUGAACAAGAAACUGAAUAAGUUUAAAGAAAACUGUUACCCUACACGGGAAUGCUAAUGAGCUUGAGAUCAUUUACUAAACAUACAAUAGUAGAAACUUGACAACAUAACUAAAUCUGAUACGGGACAAAUGAAAUGAACAUCAUAAACUGAACUAAGCUUCUGAAUACAUGGUUUACAGCUGAGGUUGGAAUUUUAAGGGUCAACUUAUGAGUACCCUAUACUCUGAACUGGAUUCGUUAUGCGAAGAGAAACUAAAUGAGUUAAGAUAUAAGAGAGUUAAGGGUUUAUGGGGUAUCUCCUCGGGAAACUAUGUUUCUCUAAGAACGCUCACCUUGCUGAGACACAGGGGGGAUGCACAAAGCAUCUACGAACUUGAUUAUAACUAAACCUCGGGAGUCUAAAGCUAAUGCAUGAUGCAUAAACUGAACUGAACUUGUAAUUAAUAAGAGGUUCUACCUUGGAAUAGUUACAUUCCCUGAGACUUCAAAUAGUAUAAAUAGAUGCAAGAAUGAGAAAACAAACUAUACCAAUCUGACUGCUUGAUUGCUAAACUGACUUACUGACUUUACUAGCUAACUCGUGCUGAAACAUAAGCUUAAAGAGAGAAAGAGAUCUAACAAUGCAUACCAUGAACAUGAAAGACUUGUAAUGUACCUGAAUCUAGGUCAAGGAAACUUUCUAGAUCAUGACGGGUCUUGAGUGCAUAAAGUCUAUUCUGAUGCUGACCACUCUUAGUGCCCUGCUGAUGUAAAUCUUUAUCCCUCUGUGCUAGAACUCUACACUAUCGCACCUAUGGCCUGGCUUUCCAUACCCAAAGCAUACAUCACUGCCUGCUCUACAUUCACCUAAGGUAUUCCUACCACACUCUUUGUAAAGUAGAUAGGUAAGACUCAUGUUCUCACUACCCUGGGCCUCAGAGCUUAGCGCCCCAUCAUGACGGUCACUCCUGAACUUGGGUACUGGUGCACUAUCUGAGGAAGGAGCUAGGACUAGAAACUUUUAACUAUGCUGAGAAAGGUUACCACCCUGUGACUUAGGUUGAGCAAAGCUAAAAAUACCUGUCCUUGAUCUCUUACUCUAUCUCUCCCUCAUCCUAAUAUUCUACUCCUCUAUCUGCAGAGCAUGAGUAGUAAGCCUAGCUAAAGUCAUAUCACUAUUUAACAUCACAGACCUACACUCUUUGACCACCCUAUCAUUCACCCCUGAGACAAACUUACUCAUCUAAGCUAUACUAUCUGCAACCACAUGAGGGGCAUAUCUCGCUAAUUGAGUAAACUUGAGAGAAUACUCUUUCACUAUCAUAUUGACCUUCCUAAGAUUAAUGAACUCAAGUACCUUGGCUUAUCUAAGCUCUAGGGGAAAGAAUCUACCAAGGAAAGUUAAAUCAAACUCCUCCCACUCAACUGACCCUUUAUCAUCUUCCCUCUCUGACUUCCAUUGCUUGAACCAAAUAUGAGCCACAUCGUGUAACUGAUAUGUAGCUAACUCAGCACUCUCAAUAGUAGUCACCCUCAUAAUGUUUGUCACCUUCUGAACUUGAUAUAGGAAUUCCUAUGGGUCUUCAUCUGUCUUAGACCUGAGAAAGGUUGAAGGAUUUAUUCGGGUAGAAUUGGCCACUGGGUUGGUUGGAACGACAGCUGGUCAUUCAUUAUGGGCAGCUACUGACUAAGAAGGAGUGGUGAAGGUGGUCCUAAAAUCCGCAUGAGAAACAUGAUUGCCCAGAGGUUCUUUAGGCUGAGGGGCUGACUGAUUUCUUCCCUUGGGAGGCAUAUUCUGAAAUAAAGAGAAAAAGCAUAUUAGACUGAGAGAUUGACUUGAUAUUAUGCUCACUGGCACGACAUAAAUACUGAAAGAAGGGAAACUAUUCCUAAAAUAUCUUAUAGCCUCUUGCACAAAAAUAUGGAGCUCAACACACCAAUGUACAAGAUCUACUAGAUGCAACUUUCGAACUUCCUAGGACUCUAUUGAACCUUAGGCUCUGAUACCAAGUUUGUAUUGCCCUAAUUUUCUGAACCAAAAUGCUACACAGUGCUCAUGACCCUAAAAGACCACAAGCUAAACCAUGACUGAUAUUUGUACCUGUACACUGCAUAAUAUAAAACUAUAAAUGCGGAAACAUGAACUGAAAGGCCAUAAGGUUUAAUACUGAACAUAAUCUGAAUAAUAACAAUGUAUGAAUAAUAUGGUAUAAUAAUACCAAAACAAAACUGAAAUAUUAAAAUCUAAAUCUAGUUUAUAAUCUAGUCUGAAAGCCUCUAACUAUCUGAAGUAAGGAGUGGAAAGAAUAUGUCUCCAACUAACUCCCGACUACUAAAAGCCAAACUGAAAUACUAAAGUAAUAAAGUAGUAAUCAUUUCCUCAAAAAAUGAGGACUAACUACUAACUCUAACUGCUGAAAUCUGCAAUGCUACUACUUCUCUGGAACUCAUGCCUCUAAACGAUGGUGUAAAGUAAAACACCAUAGCGCAAAUACAUCAAUACGCCUAAAUGUACUAGGUAUACGAGUGCGGUAGGCUAAAUGAAAAGGGUUUAUAUGUAUGAACAAUGCUGACUGAUAUGAACGUGAGAAUACAUACAUGCAUAAGUAACUAUAACUGAACUCAUGGUGAUACUGACUACUAAGUCUUAAUGCUAACAACAUGAGUAUACUAAUACUGAGAUACUAAAUGAUUGAGUUCACUGAUAUUUAUAUGUAAUUUACUACUAAGUGAGGAACUGAUACUGUAUUACUGAAUAGAUGAAUGACUAUUUUCGAUAGUUUGAAUUAUGAAGAACUGGUCUGAUUGAUUGUUUUUAAUUGUUCCAAAACUUAAUAUUGAUAACGUAAGUUAUGAUGACUGAUAUAACAGAUAUGACUGUGAUGAUCAGCAUAAACGAUGUAGCUGAUACUGAGUGACUGUAUUUGACAGCCUAAGUUCUGAUGGAACUAUCUGAGUUUUGUUAUGUAUGGAGUAACUAAAUCUGAGAUCAAUCCUAUCUAGCGGGUGAUCUCUGAGUAUAAUGAUAACAAGGAUGAUUUGACUUAGUCUAAGAUCAUUUCUACCUAGCGGGUGAUUUUUAAUCUGAUAAUACAGAUAGUGAUUGACCAUAGUUAAGUUCAGUCCUAUCUAGUGGGUGAUCCCAAAGUCUAUUAAUAAUGAUAGGGAUUGACUGUAUCUAGCAGUCCUAAAUCUAUAAAUAAAACUGUGGGAUGUAUUCAUCUAACCGACAUGCCCCUUUCUAGCUAGUUUGGGGUCCAACCUGUAAACCCAAUUAGAAGGGUGCCAGUACCGUACCACUGGUAAAGACAACUAUUGUGGAGGCAGUCCUAAUCUAGCGGAUGACCCCUGGGAUCAUUCCUAUACAUUUAAAUAUGCUAACGGGUGAUCCCUGAGUAUGUCAGUCCUAUCUAAUGGGUGACAUCUCAUACCUAUGCUGGUUAUGUAGUUCUGGAACUUAGGGAUUACUUCUAGGGAUCUCAUUCCUGUCUAGCAGGUUUGUCCCCAUCCCUAGGCUCGCUCGGUGCUGAAUCCUACUCCCAUUUCAAAGACACUGAACUAAUUAAUUGAGCAGAACUAAUUAACUAAACUAAACUGAUUAGCUGAAAUAAACUGAAUAGUUGAACUGAAACUAAUGGUAUGUUUAGCGAAGCUAAACCAAGUUUACUGAAUUCCAUUGACUAACAAAAUAUACUGAUGUCUGAGGACUGACUGAGAGUAAUGUGUUAAUGAGAUUUUACUUGGAAUCCUGAAAAUACUCAGAUUAUUGAACUACUAAUAUUUUCUGAGAUUUCCUGAGUCACAUAGUUGACUAAGUUCUAUGGAUCAUGGAUUGACAGAGAGUAUCGUUAAAACAUGACAUGGAUCUAGGCACACGGAUAAUGUUUUAGGUACAAGGACCCCCAAGACCUGAUAGAAGGAAACUGACAUAGCCUGACUUGCUUGAAUACAUAAUAAUCAUCAUAAUAUAAUUACUGAAGCAUUUCAUCAAACAUGUGAUAGGCAUAAGCUUGUACAUACAUGAGUAUUUCAUGAUAUCAUACUAAUUAGACACUUUUCCUUUAUCUAGGCAUUUAACCCAACACAUGGUAAGCAUAGAAUAUUUAAACAACAUCAUACGACAAUUAGUUGUCAUGAUUUAAUUCUAAUUUAGUCAUUCAAGGGUUUAGUCAUAGGAUUUCAUGAAUCUAUACCAUUACAAAUCAACCCAUAUGGAAUUUAACACUCAUUCAUGGAAUACAAUUCAAUUACUCAUUUUCAACAUGAACAAGAGCAACCCAAUCAUGAAAUUCGUUAAAAAAUCCAGAAAUUUAAUUUAGAAAAGAGAUUCUUAGGCUUCAUGGAUGAAAGGACUCCACCAAUGAACACUAUGCAUACCUGGGAUAAGAUUCUUGAUGUUCUUGAACAUGAAGAGUUGGAAUUCCCUUAGUUCUUGAAGAAGAUUGGAUUUUGUUCUUGGAGAUUAAUGACAAGGAGAAACCCUAAUCUUUUUUGAAAAUUGACGUUUCUUAAAUGUUCUUGGAUUAGGAAUCUUAAUUCUUGAAUAUCUUAUGGAGAGUGUGAUGGGAUCUUGAAGUUAAUUUAGAAGAAACCCUAAGUUUGUUGUUGGGAACAAAGAGGGUUAAGAGCUUUUGAAACUAAAUACCAAUAGCUAAAUUUGUAUUUUUGGUGUUUUAUGUCAUGGGGUAAGUUUUAGGGUGAGGGAAAAAACCAAAUACCCCUACAAACUUACUUUCUAGUUGCUGAAAUUAUCAGCUGACGACAUAGGAUGAUAAGCCUUCAGGUCUGUGAUAGUCCGUCAGCCCAGGUUGUCACCUAGGACCUGAAAUUGAUGGGUUGGUUUCUAAGCUUGACGACAUUAGCUGAUAAGUCAUCAAAAAUGUGAUAAUCCAUCAGAAAAGUCAUUAGAAAUGUGAUAACUCAUUAGACAGGUCAUCAGAAAUAUGAUAAACCAUCAGACAAGUUGUUACUCAGUUUCUAGGCUGACAAACUGGAAUAAAAUGGGUAUAACUUUUUGUUUUGAUAUUGGAUUUUGGCGAAAUUGGUAUCGUUGGAAAGAUAAUUCCAUUAAAUAUAAUUAGGUGGGUCAUGACCUCAAAUAUUCUUAGUACAACAAGAGAUAUUCUCAUUUGAAGUUGACUAUAGCAAUAUCCUUCCCAAGAAUUUAAUCGGUAAGGAAUGUUUUGAUUCGUCUAAUAGCUGGGAGUUACUUGAAGCCUUAAUAUACAUAUAACUUACUCAUAAAACUAUAAAAUAAUUAUGAUGUACUAUGCAUGAGAAUGAAAUAUGGCGCUAAUAUUGGUUUGGAUUUUUCGGGAUAUUACAUUUUCAUAGAACCCAUACACCUAUUUCUCAUUUGCGAGGUAGGGUUCAGGGGCAAAACACAUCCACCUAAUUGUAGUGCUCCUUUCAUGGAAUUAUGGGAACUUGUCUUCUACCUUGUCUAGGCUGAUACCUCUUUCAGGGAGUAGCUUUGUUCUGUGGAAGUCUAUUUUGUACUGGUAUUUGCAUUCUGUGAACAUGAAUUGGGUGUCAUCAAAGUCUCCCAUUGUUGAAUCCUAUAACCUGUAAACAGUUCAGCAUAUGCCAACAUUAGCAACAUUACAAUAAAUAUAUGCUAAAACAAAUCUAUAGGCUCAUGUGGUAUUGCUAUAGAAGGUUUUAGGGGUAGUUAAUGUGUAGCAGGACAUUUUAUGACUAUCAGAACUUACCCUCAGGUAUGGCGAUCGCGGAGCGUUGGCCGUGACCGCCGUUAUGCUAUCGUGGUCAUCAGGGCCGCGAUUGCGGUACAUAAGGCCUGAUCUUACAAUUCCUUCCUAGUAUUUAAAAUUUAAUUUUAACCAAAAUUCUGCAGUAACACUAGGCAUGACAACAAAAGCAACAAUGAAGUUGAGCCUGCUGUGCAAGUUUAUGUCCUCGAAUGUAAAUAAAUUAAAAAUAGUUUUGUAGGAGAAGAUAUACCUCAACCUGAAUGGGUUAAGGUCAGAUUUUGGGUACUUAAGACUUCCCCAGUUGUGUGCAUACCAACUUAUAACAGUUAACCACAGCACUAAACACUAACAAACAUGCAUUUCGCAAUGAAAAUACUACUUCAGGCCUUUGUUUAUACUACACGUUCGAAGUAGGAAAUAGGUAUUAAAAUAAGGGGAUUUAAACAACUUACCGAUUUAAAAAAUUUAUGGGACAAAUUGGUACUUGAAAAUGCAAUGCAAAGCCAUAAAUUUUUAGAGGAUUUCGAGUGAAUUUUGAAGGAGAUUUAAAGAAUUUUAGGGGAAUGGGUAAUUUGAAUGAGUCUUUAAACUGAAUUGACCUCGGUCGUGGUCCCAAUUAUGCAUUCACAAUCAUACGGAUUCCACGAUCGUGAUGACACAGACUGCAGUCGCGGUAACUAAGACCUAUCAACAAGGUUUUCUGUACAGUCUAAUUUUCUAAUUCCACACAUUCCUUUCCAACUUCAACAAAAAUUUCUCUUGGCACCCCAAAGUUCUAUGAAUUAUGCAUGAACACAAACAAGAAGUUAUUCUAAUUUAUAAUGCAUAAAAAAGAAAGGAUAUGUGCCACUUUUUGUCGCAUGAUGGAUUACCGCCCAUCGAGAGCUUAGUUUAAGAUUGUAGCUUGACAUUUCCACUACUUCCUUUUUUGUCUCCACUUAUAAGAUUUGAAUCACCAUCCUAACUUUAGCUCAAUAUCCAAUGAGCGGCAGAGGGACAGAAAAUUCAAAUCUUCAAAAAUAAAACUUGGAAGAGAUUGUAAAAUGGCAAGAAAGCUCCUAUCUCGGCAGAGGGACAGAAAAUUCAAAUCUUCAAAAAUAAAACUUGGAAGAGAUUGUAAAAUGGCAAGAAAGCUCCUAUCUCGCCAUUUUGAAGACUAAAACCUUUUACCCAACUUCACAUCGAUCUUUUGGAUUCUAUCCUUAGGUAAAACUAAGCACAUCAAUAAGAAAUUCCUUGUACUAUGGAAAUUAAGAAUCUUAGCUUUUGAUGGAUGGGGCUCCAUGUGCUCCAUCGGGAUGACAAACUCCAAAAUGCAAGAGUUGGAUUCCACCUCCCCACAAUCCUCUAUUUGGUAAAAAGGAUGGAUACCCAUCACAUCCUCUAUGCCCAAUGUUGAAAUGUGGGAUGAACGAGGUCUAACACCUAACUUUGGGUUAGCUUCCUCUAAAGCAUUGUCACCCCAAAAUGAGCUAGACUCAUCAUAAGAGGUUUGCUUUGCCUCUUCUUUUGACUCUAGUAUCUUUUCAUUUAUUAUGGCUUCUUCUCCCUUGUAUGGAAAUAAUGAUUGGGAAGUCGUUGAGGAAUAUCCGCUACCAAGCUCAUCAUCAUAGUUUGGUUUCUCUUCAUGAUAACACUCCUCUUGAUUAUUGGGAAAGGUAGUGAUAGUUUCAAGUUUUUCUUCUUUGCCUAAUAGCUCUUCCUUGACACCCAUCCAUUCUUUGUAAAUGUAUUCCAUAUUUGCCCUGUUGAAUCUACUUGGCCCAAAAUAGUUUGGAGCAUUGCUUCAAGAUUGGUGGAUUUGGAUUGUUGCUCUUCUUUCUUUUAUUUAUGAGACCUAUCAAACUCAUAAGAAUAGCUAGCAGCUCGAUUAGUAUAAUAGGGGGAAUGGGUGUUUGAAUACUCAUCCCCAUGUCCUUGUAGACAGCCAAACAAGGGGCAACCAUACUCCCACUCGGAUUGAGAUGGUAAAAGCUCUCCCUAAGGAACAUACUUAAAAUCUCUCCAGAAGUAUGGCCUAUAACAAUACGAACAUGGGGUGUCACAGUAUUACUUCCAAUCAUUAAAAAUAUAUUUAUUAUAAGACGCCAUUAAUAAAAGUAAAGAAUGAAAUAAAACCUACCCAUAGAUAAAAGUCACAAAAAAAUAUUUACAAGCUUGAAUUCAAGCAAGUAACUAAGAUUUCAAACUAAUUUAAUACGCCAAAUUGUUACUCGACAAUGGAGCCAUUUUUUAUAACACUCAACUUACACGUCAACUUAAGUGCAAGGCGGUCAUCAUCAAUAUAUUUAUCCAACUUUGUAGUCGGGGUCGAAUCCAAGAGGAACAAUGGAGUGGACAUCAAAUUAAUUUGAAAUGAUAGUUACAAGUUAAAUUAAAACAAAUGGUACAAAAAGGUAAAAUGGGGGAGGUGAGUUCCUACACUAAUGUUUUUUUUUGGAUUUUCUUGUAUAAAUUUGGGUCUAUGAAUAAUUAGAGUUGCAGUAAUUAUGUACGAAUCUUGAGAUUAUGCAUUACUAAGGGAGUGACAUGUGGAAGUUAGUCAUUAACAUCGAUUUAGUAAAUCAAAUAUAGGUAGGUUUGGUUAUAGAUUUUUAUGCUAGUCUUUCAACAAAACACCAAACUUUCACCAAUUUAUCCUUCCGAACACCUAAUAGGAGUUUUCAACAAUUACCAACCAUAACCUCAAUCAAAGCAUCCCUAUUUUUAGGAUGACACCCAUGGUAUAGUCAACCUCACUUUCACCCUUAUUUCUAAGAUAGUGAGAAUUUAUCAAACUACACACAUAAUUGUGUAUCAUUGCUUUGGUAUCUAUUUCCCUAUUUUGAGGAUUAUAUAUAUUCCAAAUCUUCACCUAAAACCCUUCUUUCAAAAAUAUUCUUGGGUUUUCUAGAGCUUGGAGCUUUCACCCUUCAAACCUAUGUGGGUAUUUGGAGAUUUCACCUAUAAAGUCCUAAAAAACUAGCAUAGCAAUAAUAGAACCCAUAAACAUUAACUACCAAAUAGAUGCUAACAAUAAAAACCCUGACACACUUUAAUCCCUAUUCACACAUAACCUUAAGAGGGAGAUUUAGCUACACAUAAAAUAAAUAAGCAUAGAUAUACUCAUAGUCUCCAUUAAAUAAAUUUGUGGUAGAUCUAAGUGAAUGUUGCUUCAAACUUGGAUCCUCCACAAUAUCAACAAUGGAAGUGAGAAAAUCUUCCACUUGGAAAGUCUCCAACGUAUUCUUCACCCAAAAUUUAUACAAUAUUUUCUUCUCCAGAAAUAGAGUCUACAAAACCCUAAGACAAUCUAGAGGAAUAUUGUGAAAGAAGGAAUGUGACAAAUGAAUCCUACGUCAAAUUAAGGUUUUAGUCUUUCUGUUCAAAUUAGGAUCCGCAUAUGUAAUUAUAAUUUUUCCCUUAGACUGAACAUUUCCGCCAAGAUGCGAUAGUGCAAGUCUAGCUGCGACCAUAGCUACGCGAUAGCGAUUGGCUUCUGCGGUCUUGGUUGAUUGACCAUAUUGACUGACCACGACCGCAGCCCAUAGACCGCGACUGUGGUAACUAAGGAUAGUUCACUACAGGUUUUCAGCUUCACUUUUUUUGCUCCCUUUUGAUCAUUUCAAGCUCCAAUCUACAUCUCUUUGUAUUUUUAACUCCUAUACCUACAACGCAUGGAUUUCACUGCAUUAAAUCACAAUUAUGACUCAUUUAGCCAUUUAGGAUAAGGUAAUGUGCACGAAAAAUAAGUGCGAACGAGUGGUAAAAUCACCACUCAUCAUUUAUUCAAGGCCCUACCUGAGAAAUAUGGUGUGAAACAUUGCAACACCUUAGAAUCUUCAAGAAAGUGGGUAGGUUGAGGUUUCCAAUCAUAAGAUCAAGACUAUGAAUGCCAAUAGAAUUUACUGGUCGAAAAGUAGAUAAUGAACUUUUGGCCUGCUAUGUAACUCUUAAAACCGCUAUAGGUUCCUUACCUUAUUAGCUUGUGCACGAUAAGGCAUGUCACUUUUCAAUUGAAUUUGAGCUCAAGGUACUAUGGGCAUUGAAGAAGCUGAAUUUUGAGUGGAGCGAUGCUGCACCCUUGAGGUUGGAUAAGAUGAAUGAGUUAGAUGAAUUUUGACUCCAUGCAUAUGAGAGUUUAGCCAUUUAUAAAGAGAAGAUAAAUUUGUACCAUGAUACAAAGAUUGAUAAAAAGGUAUUCUAACCUAGUGUGUGGUCUUGUUGUUUAAUUCAAGGCUUCACCUAUUUCCUAGAAACCUAUUUCCACAUGGUGAACUUGAGCUAAAGCGAGAUUGAGAUGUCCCAUUAAAGGUGAACAUGCAUUAUCUUAAGAAUUAAAUAUAAAGUAUGGAGGAGCGGAUAGUGUGUCAAAAUGUCAGGCUUUGUAAAGUCUGAGUAGCCAGGAAAAUUGAGUCGUGCUGAGAUGUUAAAUCAAGUGCUACUUGGGAGAAAACCUAAGGUUUUAGUGUUCACUUUAUUUUUAUUUUGAAGGUUAAAAGUUUGGAUAAACACAUGGAGAAUGGUAAAAAUUGCCAAAUUUCAAACAAAUCUAGGUAACUGGACCUACAACCCUACUUAUGGAGUCAUAGGCCCAAUUCACAACAUCUAAGUUGAGUUGUGGGAAUCAAAAAAAAUUUUAGGUCUCUGAAGUUCAACCUACGGACCAUAAAACCAUCCUUGUAAGUACAACCUACGAUCUCAUAGGUUGGAAUAAUAGGAAUAAAAGGAAAAAUGGGUUGCAAAACCUACAUAUGGGACCUACCUACGAGCCCAUAGGUACUACCUAAGCACCGUAAGUAAGGUCUGCCAAUGGGCUAAUAUAUUUAAAAAAAUUAGGUUGGGCUAUUUAGACUCGCUCUGGCAUGCCAACGUUAUUUAAACCCUAAAUCCAACCCUCCAACACCUUCAACCCUUCAAAUUUAGAACUCUUCAAUUCAAACUCUCCAACUUCCAUUCCUCAGUAUAAAAGGAAAACCCUACUCCUCAUCACCCUACUUGCACACAAUAUUCAAAGAGUUAGGGAUAAAAUCACGAGUUCAUCUUCCACUUCUACAUUAUUCAUUCAAGGUAAGGUUUUCUUGGAUCCAAUUAGUUUGAAAAGAAAAUUGUUCUUGAACUUUAAGCUUGAUAUUACCCUAAAAUAAACCUAAGCUUAUGCAAUUUUCAUAAUUCUUGCAAUAGUUAGAGACUAAAACUUGUGAACUCGGUGGGUGCAUAUCUUUUGAAUUAGGAAGCUUAUGAUCAUAUUAAAAGUAAGAAGUAGCUGAAUAAUGCGAAUAAUAUGUGAAUACCUGUUUAACUUAAAGUGAUGCAUGUUGUAGUGCUUAAAUUUGAUCCAAAUUUUGGAAAUUUAUCUGUGUUGAAUGGAAUUUCAAGAAAAUUUUUGCAUAUCCUCAUCCUGAACCCAAGAACCCUACUUACAAGGAUGUAAGUUAUACCUACGAGCCCGUAGGUGUCCAUGUAGGUGUCAAACUUGAAGAACUAAAGAUUCAGGGAUUUUUCUCCUACUUAUGAAGUCUACCUAUGUCUCUGUAGGUACUACCUACGACCUAUAGGUAGGGGUCAUAUAUAGCCUUUGCAAAGGAAUGCCAAUUUUUUUCUCAGUUCUUGUUCUUGAAUUGUGUUUUAAUCACUAAAAACUCCUUUUACAGGUAUAAUGGCAACUAAGGUUACUCAGAAGAAACGAGUACAGUCUAGGUUAUGAGAUGAGUCCCCUGAGCGAAUUGGAUUUGUGAAGGAGUAUUUGGUGAGUGGGGACAAUACAACUUUGGAACCAUGUUAGACUCAAGGUAUUGUACAAAGGCAAGCUAUAUCCAGGGAAUCGAUUCAGUAGGGCUCUCAGCCCUCACCACUAUAGGCAUUAUUAUUAGGGCCUCAAACUUCUCCAACUCAUUUUGUUUAGAUUGGGACCUGGAUAAAUUUAACCAUGAAUUCACUACCGUACUCUCUCCAGUCUAAUAAGGGAGAGAAUAAGUUAGGUUUUAGUUCUGCUAAAGGAGAAGAUGAGUUAGGUACUCAUUUUAGUUAGGAGGAGGAUAUAGUUGGCUCCUAGUCUGAGGAAGGGUUGAAGUCUGCAUCUGAUUAAGUUAAUAGUGAGUUAGUUGCACCCCAGUCUGAAGAGGGUGAUGAUGUAUCUUAAGGAUCUCAGGAGGUUUCUACUUUAUUUAGUGUACUACGGUUGGUGUUAUUUCAGCUUCUUCUUCUAAGUAGUCCGAGUCGACACACAUCUCCCCAGCUCUACUUGCCCAAGUUAAUAGAUUAUGUAUGGAGGGAAUAUAUAGUCUUUAUGAUAGAGAAAGCACUAUUAUUGAGUAGGGUAGAUUGCAGUGUGAUAAUAUAGAGGAGACCCAAAUUAAGAUAGCCACUUUGGUAGGUGCUCUAGACCUUUAGGCUGCAUUUUAUAUAUAUCUACAAGGGUGGAUGACCCAACCCUUAGGUUUUUACUGUUGGGAGAUUGUUUGAAAGUUUUAUGCUUUUGAUACAACAUCUCUUUAUUUUUUUACCUCUGCUGAGAGAAGAGGAGUGGACCAACCCCUACUAACUCACAUACUAGUCUAAGGGGUUAGGGUUUAUGUUUCAAAGAAGAUGAUUACAUUGUUCUUAUUUAGGUUGGAGUUUAUGGGGCCAACCACUAUUAUUGAUUUUGAUUAUUGUUUGAGGUUAGUGAGUAGUAGGCACACGAUGAGAGAUGCUGAGCACAGGGCGCAGAGAGUUAACUUGGCUAGAUAGGUAACUGAGAAAAUCAUAGAGUGUGGUAGUAAUGACCCUUAUAUUGGGGGAAAUAGAUAGAUUAAGAAAUCAUUAAUGUGUUUUGUAGUAAAGUUUUUGUAGAUGAUAGUGAGGCAUCAUUAGAGUCCGACAUCUAUGGACAAUGUCUAACUUGGGAUAGAGUAGUAAUAAUUUCCAGCCUAAUAGCUGGUUAUGAUAUUUAUUUUUCUAGGUAGAUACGAGAUGAGAUCCAUGAGAGAGCAUUAUGAGAGUUCACCAUCCUUACCUUCCCUUAUCGUAUAUAGAGAUUAUGUGAUGCAGAUUGAGUGACGCCUAUUCUAAAGGUUGAUUAGAGGAUCGAAGUCACCUAGAUAGCAGGUAUUAGAUCGAUUAAGGAUGCGGCCAACCCUAUUGCAUAAAAAAGUGCACAUCCGUAUACUUUUUCACUGUUACCCAUUUUAUGGGGCCUUCUAUAUCGCCCGAGCAUGUUGAGAGCCAACACCAGUUGGUGACUUGAAUAUGGGCAGUCAAAGAGUUGAGCCCACGACUACUGCAUGUGGUAAGGUGGUUGUAGAAACUUCAGGUCCAAGUUCGGCUUUUACUUUAUCCCCUCUCCCACGAGUUUUUAGGUUUGUUGGUAUGCCUCAAUAGUUCUUACAGCAGUUUGUUAAUCGACAGUAGGAGAUGAUCAAUCAUCAGAAACAUAUAGAGACCCAAUUGGCCAUAUUAUUUAGGCAUAUAUAACCAUGGGUCCAUAUUGUAGAGGCUUUCAAGGCUAGAGAAAAGGCUUAUAUGAUGGAUAAUAACACUCAAAUUGCACUCUUAAAUGGGUGUAAGAGAUUGUUGUCAAUAUAAUAACCCAACUUAGGUUUGUGUUUAAUCCACAAGGAGUGAAAGCAUGGAAUGAAAAAGUCAAGAGCAUUGAUAGUCUACUAAAAGAUGACCCAUAGUUUGAAUAAAACAAACAUAAAUUUAAAAUGGGGGAUUUAGUUUGAAAGUUCUUGUUAAUGACAACUACUUCAAUUUUAGUGCACUAUCUUGGUGUUGAAAAAUGCUAAGAGUGAAUUCAAUUGAGAAUAAGCCUUGGGGUUAAGCACUUCUAAGAGUGGGUUCAUGCAUGGGCACUCUGCAAUUUAUCCAACUUUUAGCUAAAAGUCAUGGGUAGGCUAGAUGUCAAUAUAUUGAUGUCAAUCUUUCAAUUACAACACCAAAUUUCACAAAUGAAUUCUUUCAAACACUCACAAGUGUGACAAUUUUCCACAUCUAUUGUUUCAAUUGACAACCUUAUGUCUAAGUGAUGUCAUUAAAUGAAAUGAAUCAAGUUAUUGGUUGAGUUUAGUCCUUACCCAUGUCCCCUCUUUCAAGAAUGACAUAGGUUCAAGGGUGCUUGGGGUUUGCAACCCCCAACUCUUAGUUAAAUUAUGAAAUAAAUGCAACGCCAAUCACAAAUAACUAAUUAGAAGAAUAAUUACCUAACACCUAUGCACUACCACAAUCUAAGAAAGCAUGACACCAAUAUUUAAAAUGAGCUACUCAUAGAUAAAAAGGUUAAAAGUAUACCAAAGUUAACAUUGACUUCAUCCAUGAGAAAUAAAUUGAAUGUAGUUCCAAGCUUGGAGUUUCAAUAAAUCUUUAAUAGAAAAUCACUAAUUCUUCUCUGGGAAUCACUCAUAAAUAUUUUAUAUUCUAGGAUGAAAAGAUAGGUGCUAAGAUGAAAACAUAGAAGCUAAGAUAAAAAAAAAUGAAGGCUAGGUCUUGAAAAAAGAGCUAGAAACCCUUCUUUAGGCCCCACUUCGACAUUUGACAAAAUUACAAAAUUACCACCUUGCUUUUGAUUUUAUUAAGUGGAUCUAAAGUGGAUAUAAAGAAGAUAAAGAAUAGAUGGGUGGUAGCUCCAAAGCAGAUGUAAAGCGGCUGACUUUUUUCCUUCACAUUUGUUCUCUUGUUGACUUGAAUGACUUGCUCAUCUUCCCUUUUUACUUUUACCUACAUAAAUGAGAAUUAAGUAAGAGAGGACCAUCAAAUUAAUAGAAAAACAUGAUAAUUUAGGCUCAAAAGGUACUAGCAAGUCGUCAAAUUGACGACUUAUCAAUGGCCGCCAUAGAGUGGUUCAUGAGAGAAUUGCAUGGGCAUAUAGAUAGUUUUAAGGCUCAAAAAUGAGCACGAAUUUGUGAGGCUUAGGAACCUAAAUUAUCAAGCCUAUGUGACGAGGUGUCCUCAUUGAGAUAAGAGAUGUGCUCUUUAGCCGAGAUCUAUAUUCUAGUUAAUCGUAGGUGGUUUUUUCUUUUGCGUGACCACUACCUAGACCUCCACCUAUGGUUUUUGAUUUUAUUCUGAGAUGAUGACUCCCCGCCUAUGGGAGACAGGAUAAGAUGAGAAUAUUAUGAGUUAGGUGACUCUAAGGAGUUUUGGUGGGCCUUGAAAAUGGUGACUAUGAAGUUUGUGUUGCAGCUCGAUACCGGUAAGGAUAGGCAUGCUUGGCUUACAUGGGGCACCUCUUCUAGUCAUGCAUCACUAUCUCCUCUUGGAAAUAAGCCACGAGAUGCCCCAUAUUGGGGCAAUCCAUAUUCUGAUGCCUAUAGAGUAUAUAUCCCUAUACCUUUAUGUUGUUUAGUUUCUCGUAUGCAUCGGGGAUAGUGUAUCAACUUUCAAUUAGGAGUAGGGGUGUACAUCAGCCAAGGGUUUUUUUGUCGUGUUUCAUAUCCCGUCGUCUAUAUUAUUAUAGUAUAACUGGCAUGUUUAGGUAUUAUAUUAUGUUAUUUUGUUUGUGUGUUGUUUAUGUUUAAUUAGAAGAAAAAUAAGGAACCUAAGUACAAUUGACAUGUUUUAUUUUGUGCUAAAGUGUUUGAGAAACAAAAUGAUACCCCUCCUAAAAAUUUUGUGAACUGUGUUAUGUAAAUAUAUGUGUGACCAUUGUGUGAAUAUUGUUAUGACAUUAGAACUAGGGAGAAUAUCAUCAAAGCUUAGCGCUACAUGAACCGAUCAAGUACUAGUUCAUAAUGUAACCCUUUGCCAUGUGUUUGUGAGGCACUUACCUAGUUCUCUUUUUGAAUUUAAUUCAGAACUUUCUCAGUUAGUCUUUCUUAGGUUAUAGUAUAGUUGGUUAGGAUGUCAUUGAAUAAGUCCACUCUUAUCCUAAAAGAUUGACCAAAUAAGAAUAAGUAUCCCUUGAUCCCUGAUUCGAGCCUAAAUUGAAGUAUUUUCUUAUUUUCACCUUUUCACCUUCCCAUUUAAUCACAAUGAAGUUGUUUUGGCCCUAGUUGCUCUUUGGACACUGUGCACCUCAACUCAGACAAAUUGCCUAAGUUGAGGGUGGAUAUCAUAGGUAUGCAUAUUUGAAAUUGAGUAUGAAGAAGGGAGUGGAAUAAAUAAAAAUAAAAUUGGGCGGGGUGUAUUAAUAACAUGUAAAAGAAGAAAAAAAGAAAAUAAAAUAAGAAAAGGUGAAAAAAUGGAAAAGAAAAAAAAAGUGAAUAAGGGAAGGGAAUGAAUAAACCACACCCAAUCCCAAUAAGAAGUAAAGGAGGCAAAGAGAGAAAUAAUAGAAACAUGGUUAAGUAGUGGAGCUAACAAGAUAAGUGUGGUGUCAAGAAGGGUGAGUGAUGUCUCCCAAAUUACACCUCACAAUGAAGUAUAAAGUGGUCGUCGAAAAAAUAUAGUACCCAAUGAGGUUGCGAUCGAUCCAACGAAGAAUAUGGUUAGGACCUAGGUUAAUGUAGUAAUUUGAACUAUUAAUUAAUUAUUUUUUAAAGUGGGGAUUAAGAAAAACAAGUCGACAGUUUGUAAAUCGAACUAAAAAGCAAACAAAUAUCAAUUUAUGUUGACAAAAUCAAUGGGAAUGAUUAACUCGAACGGUGUUCCCCUUAACUAGAAUCGUGUUCCCCCUGAAUUCUUAACUUUGCAAACUUAUCAUGCUUCUUCAAACUAUCUCACUGUCUUGUAUGCAGAAUUUAACAAGGUAUGUAUCACCAACUUUCUUUUGAACACCUUUGGUGAAUUUCAUUCAUUGGCUUUUGAGUCUCAGAGUGUCCUGCUACUAACCCUUGUCCCGGAUCCCAGAUUAACUAUUACCUUUUGAGUGUCAAGCUAAUUAGAUGAGGGUUGGUAACCUCAAAUUACUGUGGUGAUCUUCUUUUCCUAAUUUGUACCUCUCUAUUGAACUAAUAUCUAAUACUGACAGGUUCUUAAUGUCUACAAUCGAUAAGAAAGCAAUCAAACUAAAUAAAAUUACAAUACAUGCAAGAACAUCAAUCAAGAAAGACUUUGCACUUUCUCUGCUUUAUUAACCCAUCAUGGUUUCCACAAUCUUAGUUGUUGGAUUUAACUACUCAUGGCUUGAAAAUUACAAUUAGAAAUCAUAAACAAAAUCGUGAUUAUGAACUUACAAAUUGAGUAGAGUAAAUCUGAAAUCUUAAAUUCUAAAAAAAAAAAGAUGGACGAGAAAAAAAUAAACCAAUUUUCUCAAUCCUCCAUGGCAGCUCCAAGCAUUCUCUAAUAAAAAGUUAACAAGUUACUUCUCAAAAGUUGUCAAAAAUUUCAUAAAAACUAUUUUUGUGAAAUAUUUAAAGGUGUAAGAAAAACUUUAAAUUAAAAUAACUGAGUUUAAAACAGACUAGGAAAUAAAAACCCAGUCCAAAUUGGACUGGAUUGUGUCAAAUCCAGUGGCCGCCUAACUUUUUCUUUCCAGAUGCCUAACUUUUUCUAUCUCAAUCCUAACUUCACGAUGUAGAAGUUAAUUAUAAUGUUGCAUUCAAUUCAUUAAGUUGUCUGCUUUAUUUUCUUAUAUAAUUCCUCAAUUUUAAUUUUGGUUUUGCUCUAAAUUUCUUCAUCAUCACACUAAUUUUAUCAUACAAAUAAAAAUAUAGUAUUAAAAAUUAUUCAUAAAAUCAAUUCUUAGAAAGAGUAGAUAAAUAUACUAAAUAUGAGACAAAUAAUAACUUAAUAUAUAAUUAUUGCCUCACAUCAACACCCCGCACAUAGACUUUUGUUCGUCCUCAAGAAAAUAUUAAAGCUCAUCUCAACUCAUCAAAUCUCGGAACGCCACCAAUUUGGUUCAUACAAACAAUUAGACCAUAUAACAAUUCGCAACAUUAAGUACACUUUAUUAUCAUUAUCCAUCAAGUAUAAACGAACAACACACCUCGAAUCUCAUAACCUCAAAGAUAGACUCUAACUUAUCAAAUUUAAGUUUGCUUACCUAUUCUUUUCAAAGAAAGUUAAUAACAUCACAUAUCUAUCACAAAAUAAGUGCCCUCAUAAAAAAAAAAUAGUCCACACACUCAAUUCAAAAGAUUGAACAUAAUUUAAGAACUCAACAUUAACGAACAACUCUUACACUUACAAAAAUAAAUUUCACAUGUAUGCACAAAGAACCAUAAGCUUUUUCAUUAUGUACAUCUCCACUAAUUCAGUAUGCUCGAAUAGAAUCAAAUAGUACUUUAACAGGUUCUAAUAAUGGUCAGGGAACAGGUAGGAAAACUAUAUAAUAUCGACUUACACUUCCUUAAGAACUUUGCACUUUUUAAACUUCAUCACCCAUUAUUUUCUUCACUUUAAUUUUUAGCCCUCUCUUCAUCAAUUACUUUCACUAGUAUUCUCAUCAAAUCAAGAAGGUUUCAAUCAAUUUUUUCCUCAAGUAUUUUCCUUUUCUUUUCAUGUCACAUACUUUUAAAGAGGGUCUUUUCAUCACUUUGUAGCUAUCAGUGGCCAUCUUUUACACUCAAAGUCAACUUUCUUCAAAAAUUUACUGAAUUUCAACAUAUUCUUACUAUAGUUCUCAAGAAAGUCGAGUACAAAAAUUAGGGAUUCUAAAAAAAUAAAUCAAGGUAAAAAUACGGCUACCUAAAAAAAUAGACUACAUAUUCAAAGGGGCUAACUAGUGAUAUAAUAUACUAAAAAGGAUAAAAUUUACACGACACAUCAAAGAAAGCCUACUAUCAUAUUCUAAGUAAAGAAACACUUUUUAUUUCUCUUCAACAACAUGGAGGGCAAGUUCUCGACAAAUGUACAAAAGAUGGAUAUAUGCAAAAUAUUCUUCACCACACCUGGCACAAGCAUUAAUCAAGAUGGAUCAAUUCCACUUCUAAGAUAAAUAGGGUCAUAACAAACCACAAAAUUAAGAAUAAAUUAUAUACAAAGUCACAACCAUGAGCCUAAAUAUCAAAAAAGUCUAUUAAUUUUUUUAUACUCAAGCAUCCACAGAAAAGUACUACUCAAAAUUAGGUAUAACUUGCUAGUAUCAACCACAAAAAAUUUAUUCUCUCAAAAGAAAUACUCCAACAAAUAAAAAUAUAAAAGAAGAAAAGAAAUGUAUUCCAUAAAAAAAAUAAUACUAUUCAAAGGGUCCCCCUCAAAAAAGAAUAAAAAAAAUCAAAAGGGUGGGAGAAAUAUGCUCAAAAAAAUAAAAACAAAAGCUAUUUGUCUAAACAAUAAAAGUAAAAUAAUUUUGUAUUUUUUUAGUAUUUUCAUUUCUUUCAACUUAAAAUAAAUAAAUAAAAAAUAAGACCUAUAGCGUAUUUUACCCUUAACAAAUUUUGAAACAUAUCCCAUACCACACUUAAAAUCAUGCAUUGUCUCCAAAGCAACAAAUAAAAUAAAACGAGGGUUAAAGAUACUUCUUGAGACCCUCUAAAGCCUAGCUAGUAACAUGUGUCUUCAGUUUUCAUCAAGGGUUGCACGCUUUCCACACUUAAGUUCACACAUGCUAUUUAGCUUUAAAUUCGGAUAAUCAGACUUUCACUAAAUGUGCAAAAACAUACCAAAACAAAAUAAAAAAUAAAAAAUGUUAUUAUUUAAAUAAAUAAAUAAAUAAUAAGAAGUUAAACUACUAGUUGGAUUGCCUUCCAUUUUUAUUUCCACUUUGAACUUAUGAAUUGCACCCAUAAUUUUUUUUUCUAAUUUGCUACUAUGAUCAAGGGGCGGUGGUAUAAAAAUAAAUGAACCAAACAAUAGAUAUGGCAUGUUGCAAUUCUUUGCUCUUAAGUGAGGAAUGUAAUUUUUUAAUUUUGGCACAAUAAAUUCAAGAGUAUAGAAAUAGUUUUUCUUCUUUUUACAUUCUUCUAUAGGCUCAGAUAACUCGUUUAGUAUCUUAUUAUCCAAAUAUAAUGUGAAAAAAUAAUUAGAAUAAAGUCCAAUACGCCUCGACUCAUGAAUUGUAUUAUUAUUUAUGUCCUCAUAUAACUUUAGUGUACUCUUAUCAAUAGUGACAACAUCAAUAAAAUUAUGAUCAUGUAUUCGAUCCUCCAAUUUUAGCUCCUCACUUUGGCUUAUAAAAUUUUUUUCAGUCUCACACAACUCAUAACUAAAUAAUUGGGUGCUACACAUAUCAACCUUCGCAUUCAAAUUUUCUUUUAAGUUGUGAAUAUCCAAGCCAAUCCUACAGAUAUUUUGAAUGAACUCAUGUUUUUCUUUUGCGAGGAGUGUCAAUGUUUCUAUCAUGCUCUCAUUUCGCUCCCAUAAUAUAUCUAUCUCACUUUUUCAAUAAUGCAUUAUAUCAAAAGGAUAAGAAUCAAUAAAAAGGAGUUUUCAUCACUCCACACUUCCUCUUGUAAAGAUGUCAUAUCAAGAAGAGUAGCAAAAUAUAAAAAAUAAAAGGAACAAAAACUAAAAAUUUAAAAAAUUAUAGGAAAAAUAAAAUCAAUAGUCAAAUAAAUACAAUUGAUCUAACCCUAAAUCGUAUUUCGCAGCAAUGGCACCAAAUUUUGAUGGAGCCCAAAUUACACCUCACAAUAAAGUAUAAAGUGGUCAUGAACAAAUAUAGAACCCAACUAGGUCAACAUAAAUCCCACGAGGCAUAUCGUUAGGACCUAGGUCAAUCUGGUUAUUUGGACUAUUAAUUAUUAUUUUUGAAAGGGGAAGAUUACAAAGAACAAAUCAACAGUUCAUAAAUUGAACUAGCAAGUAAUCAAAUAUUAGUUUAUGUUGAGAGAAUCAAUGAGAAUGAUUAACUAGUACUGUGUUCCCCAUGACUAUAACACCCUGGGGACUUGAUCCUUAAAAAAUUUCCUUGGUUUUGGACUCACUGAACUUGGUAUGACUCAAGGGUACCAGUCGUACCCUUGAAUAUGAGUUAGGGGUUGUCUUAAGGAUUCACUCAUACUCUAGGUAGUAUGGUUGGCUUGGAUACUGCCCAAUAUAUGACUCACUAGGCUAUGAAUCAUAUCAGAGCAUACGAGUCAUGCAAUAAAAGUCGUAUGGUGCAUGAUUAUCUUGGUCUUGCGGAAUCUAUCUAUGGUACGGUUGGUGGGUAUGAUUCUGUGUGUCACUCAUACCCUUAGGUAUGAGUUAGGGACGUGUGAUUCAAUUAGAAACCAGUGGGUAGGGUCUUGUCAUGGUCUUGCGUAUGAGUUGGGGUACCAGUGGUACUCUAGGAUACGAAUGGUAUAGGUGAGUAGUACCUCUGGACGUGGCUUGUUUUAAUUUUAAGUAAAGGUAUUUCGGACAUUUCCUACUUCAAAUUCCUUAUGUCCUAAUUUUAUAUAACCCUUGGUUUCCUUCCAUAACACUUGUUAAAGGAUUAAACAUUUCAAAUACUCUCUUAAACUUACUCUUGAAGAUUGAAGGCUAGGGUUUCUUCAUAUGUUCUUCAAAUGGCUCAAAGGUCAAGAUUUCUUUCGUGAAUCUUAAUGUAUAAGGCAUGUACUCCUUCCCUCAUUGUUAGUUCCAACUAAUGUAAUAUGCAUUGUGUUUUAAACAUUUAUUUAUGGAUCAUGAAUGGUGGUUUUUGAAACAUAUGUUGAGGGUCUUGAUGCAUAUGGUUUGGUAUUAAUUUAAACUAUACUUUUACAUAUUUUUGGUAAUGGUUUGAAUAUGUGGUUAGUGUUUAGUUAUGGUUUAAAAAAUGGGUCUUGAGUAACCCUAACUAUGGUAGUUUAUGCAUUGGUUUUGGUCUUGGUAAAGGUAUGCCCUCAACAUGUUUGAUAAAAUGCCUAAAAGAAUAUUUUCACUCUAUUGUUGAACUUUCAUUGGAACUCUUGCAUAGUUUGGUUUGGUAAUGGAACCUUAAAUGAAUUUGGAUGGUUUUACAUGGUUUAAAUAAUAUAAAUUCUUUAAAUAUUUGGCAUGGUCAUAAAUGGUUUGGAAUAGUUUUAAAUGGCAUAAAUAGUGUACAUGGUUUGGAAGGAUUAAAUGGUUAACGUCAGUGGCUAUGAAACUGGUCACUCUUGUGGGCACAUGAAAUCCCCCAAGUGGUUUAAUAUAUUAAAUAGAAGGGCACUUGGAAGUCCCCUUCAACCUAUAUAUGGUUUGCUAUGGGUAGUACUUGCAAGUAUGGUCAGUAUGAUGAUACUACUACUAAAUGGCCUUGGUUAACAAAUGGUAAAUAGAUUAGUUAGUUUCUUGGUAAUGGUUUUAAUUGGGAAAUAAUGGCAAGAUAUGUAGGAAAUUUGUGAAAGAUGGAGGUCUGCGGGGACCAAAAUUGGAAACUCAUAUUUGCCGAUGUGAGAUUGGUCUUGGUGACCGUGUGUAUAAUGUCACACUAUAUUUUUGGGGAUGUACUAGUCAUCCUAGGUUUUCUUCCUUAGUCAUGCAUUUACAUGCAUUGGGCCCCCUUAAGCAGGGGAUAUACACUCAUAUAUCCCAUGGGUCAUUUAGGAUGGCAAAGCUAUACAACCCAAGUAAAGGUUUUAAAUGCAUGCUAAACCCGGUUCCCUUUUCCUGCAUGGUUAUUUAGGUGUAUGGUUGUGUUCAUUAUGGAUGGUUUUACUUGGAUUUGUAAAUGGCAUUAUUUUAUCCUUAUUACGAGUGUAUGCUAGUGUUCACCCACUAACGUAUCUUCGGGCGGCUUUAUACCUACGCUAUACAAGAACUGACCAUUUUACUUCUCCUGCUUAGUGAUCAAAUUUUGGGACAGUAAAUGUUGGAUUAAAGUGGAGAGCUUCCAUAUUUCGAAAGGAAACUAUUUCAUGUCAUGGUUUGCUUUACAUAUUUCUUAUCUUACAUAGACUAUGGUUUUGGCUAUGGUAGGGGGCAUGUCCCGACUAGGUACUCUUUGUUUAGUCUAGAGGCUUUGUAUGGACAAGUGUGGAUUUGGGUAUGUUAUGGAUUGUUUUGUUAUAUGUACAUACAUACAUUGGCUUAUUAUCAUGGUAUUAGUUUUGGCUUCCACAUUGUUUUGGUAGAUUAUUGAGUGGUUGGACUUAGUUGGGUUAGUCUCAUAUAUAGACCUAUCCCAAAGUCACUACAUGGUUGGAUAUGCUAUCUUGUUAUAUGUUCAGACUUUAGCCAACACAAGGUAUGCGUUUGGUGGUUAGGUUGGGAAAUAGGGGCGGUUCUCGGUCCUGUUUGGGCUUGGGAUCACCCAUUAUGACAAGGCCCUAAGUCGGGGCAUGUCACUGACUUUUUAACUUUGUAGACUUAUGGUGCUUCAUCAAACAUUCUCAAUGCCUUGCAUGAAUAAUAUAACAAGUUAUGCAUCACCAACCAUAUUUUGAACGUCUUUGGUGAAUUUCACUAAUCACCUUUUUAGUCUCAGAGUGUUGGGUUACUAACCCUUGUCCUGGAUCCGAGAUUAUCUAUUACCUUUUGAGUUUUAAGAUAAUUAUAUGAGGAUUGGUAGCCUCAAUUUACUAUUGUGAUCUCAUUUUCCUAAUCUCUACCUCUCUUUUGAAGUAAGUAUUGAAUAAAGAUACGUUCUUAAUGUCUGUAGUCGUUAGCAAGAAAAUCAAACUGAAGAAAAUCACAAUACAUGCAAGAACUUUAAUCAAGCAAAUCUUUGGAAUUCCUCUGUUUUGUUAAUCCAUCAUGGAUUCCACAAUCCUAGAUGUGGAAUUUAGCAACUCAUGGAUUGAAAAUCACAAUUAGAAAUCAUAGACAAAAUCAUAAUUAUGAAUUUACAAAUUGAGUAGAGUAAAUCCGGAAUAUUAAAUUCUCAAAGAAAAAUAAAUGAAUAUGGAGAAGAAAAGAAUAAAACUAUUUUGUCUGGCCUCCACGGUGACUCCAAGCUUUCUGUAGUAAAAUGUUUACAAUUUACUUCUCAAAAGUUGUCAAAAAAGUACAUAAAACUAAUUUUGUGAAAUAUUUAUAAGCAUAAGAAAAAACUAAAAAUAAAAUAACUGAGUCCAAAAUAGACUAAAAAAUAAAUACUCAGUCCAAAUUGAACUGGAUUGCAUAAACUCCAGUGGUCGCCUAACUUUUUGUUUCUAGCCGUCUAACUUUUUUUAUUUCAAUUCUAACUUCAAGUGGUAGAAAUUAAAUAUUAUAUUAAAUUUAAUCCAUUAAGCUGCAUGCUUGAUUUCCUUAUAUAAUUUUUUUAUUUUAAGUUUUUUUGCUUCAAAUUUCUUCAUUUUUACACCAAUUUAAUCCUACAAAUAAAAAUAUAAUAUUAAGCAUAAUUCAUAAAAUUAAUGCUAUAAAGGGAUAAAUAAAAUACUAAAUAUGAGACAAAUAAUGCCUAAAUAUAUAAUUUGGCAUCACAUCAGUGAGUCACUAUAUCCCAAAUGUACUAUACUUGUCCCCAAGCCUACAUUAUAAGCCGAGAAAAGUGCUAGUCCAACUAUCCAAAAAACUCAGGUAUAGAAAAUAAGGUAAAGCCUAUGGGUAUUUUGUGCAUAUUUUUGGAAAUUCUUUUGUAAGCAUGAGCAUUUAAUAUAGUUCCUACAUUGACAUGCAUUAUUAUACUGUGAGAGUUUAGACUUCUUUGUUUGUGAUGGUACAUGGGUUUUAUUGUUAACUAUUUUCUUUAAAGAUGGUGUAAAUUCCAUAUAUGCUUGGUUGUUUGUUGCAAAUGUAAUGCCAUCACUUGAUUCCUUUGUGUCAUACUAUUGUGCUGCAUGAAUCCACGCUCUGCUUUUAAAAGUUUUAAAUAGGAGAGGAUAAGAAUUUUUAAGCUAAAUUGAGUAAAUUGUCAUAGGUAUCUUAGGUUUUUGUUAGUUAAGAAUCAUGUUUUCGUUGUUAUGGGUUAGUUUUAUAAAGACAUGCAAACAUUCAAAGUUAAGGAUGUUGAUGUCCCAUGCUUUCAUGACACUUUUGAAGCUUAAAAUAAGAAAAUUAUGCAAGUACUUAGGUCUUUUUGUUAGAUAUGAUGUGUUUUUAUGUUGGUUUUGAAGAAAAAUAGGCUUUAGAGUAGACAAGGAGAAAAAAGUAAUGAAAUGUAGUAGGUAAUCUACCUACGAGCCCUACCUAUGGGCAUGCAGGUUAGGUGCGUAGGUAUGACUCCUUAAGUUAUGAAAUCUGAAGUAUAUACUUAUUCCUAUGAAGGCCAACCUAUAAGGAAUAGGUGGUACCUACGACACGUAGGUACCCCUUGUAGGUAGGGUUAUGAAGACCUGAAGACUACUCUAAUUCCCACGAAGCUAUAGAUGACUCGUAGGUAUUACGACGGCUCGUAAGUGAGGCCAUAGGUUGGUGCCAACUCUAUUUUCCUACUGUGUUUUUGAUAGGUUUUCUAGGUUUUCCGAUGUAUCUAUAAAUACCCAUUGGAUGUUUCAUUAUUAGUUUACGCACUUUAUACACUAAUUACUUUGUUUUGAGAUCUAAGAUACACUUUGAUCUUGGAAUUCUUGUUCUUGGUUUUUAGGGUUUGAUAUAAAGUGAAGGUUUUGAUUUUCAUUCUUAUUAUUCAAGAUGUCAUUCGUACGCUUUAAAUUAGGAAUUCUAUGUCUGUUCUUUCAAUCACGAGUAUCUAAACCACAAUAAUUAGAGUUGUGGGAACCCUAUUGGAUUAACAAAACAUAUGAAGUGAAAAGUCAUUCUAAAUUGGUAGUUGUGCAUGAAUUGUGGUUUUCUCUGCUUCAAUAAUUUUUUAAAGGUAGCAAACAUUAGGAACCCUCCUGUAUUCGAUACUAACUCAAGAGAGAGGUAGAGAUUGGGAAAAUAAGAUCACAAGAGUAAUUUAAAGCAACCAACCUUCAUCUAAUUAACUUGAGACCAAUAGGAGAUAGUUAAUAUGGGAUCCAGAAUAAGAAAUAGUGAUGUGACACUUUGAAUCGAGAGAUAUGAGUGAAAUUCACCCAAAAAAAGAUCGAGAGAUGGCUCGUUGAUACCUAACUUGUUAGAUUCUACAUGCAAGGAACCAAGCUUGUUUGAUAAACAUGAUAAAUCUAUGGAUUUAAGAAGUCAGUGGGAAUACAAUCCUAAUAAUUAUCCCAUACUGAUAACAACCCUACUUGCCAAGCAUUGCUACUAUAACUACUUUUCAUAUAGAUCCCUCCUUCUAUUUGCUUUCUGCACUUUCCAGAUACAUCACCAAGCUCAUGACUGAUUUUUUUCCUAAUUUUUAUGGUAUCUAUCCCAAUUUCUUUGGGUUCUAUAUUUGACAAGCUAUCGCAUUAUACUUUUUAGGAGGUAUAAUUUGGGCGACAUCAGUUUUCACUUUAAUUUUCUCGAACUUAAAGUGAUGAGAUGAUAAUUCAAUAUACUCCCCAAAAGGUUAAUCCAGUUAAGGCAUUAAUCCAUAAUUAGAGGUUAAAAACUCUUAAUUCUUGUCACUAAUUUCUUUUACCAACAUUAAUUUCUUUAUUCAAGCAAGCUAAGUUUUAGGGCAUGUUCUCAAUUUUGCAACCAGGAGAACCCAUUAAACUGAAGAGAAAAGUGAUAUAAUCACAAGCUUAAUAUAAACUAAACAAACCAUAACCUAGAAUUGAACUUCCACCAAGGAUCCAAUAACCCUAGUUAAGGAGUUUUAGCUACUCAUUAUCAAAAAGAAGAUGAAAAAGAUUAAUUUCAUAAAUUAAAGAUUAGAACAUAAAAUGAAUAAGUACUAGAACUUUGAAUGAAAAUUCAAACCAAGAAUAAUGUGUGUCAUACUCCAAACAUGUUUAACAGUGAUGCCAAUACAUUAUGUAUUUCAACACCAAGUAAAAGAUGACUAUUCAAACCCUAAGCAAGGAAUUUAUAGGCUCUAAAAAAUAGGGAUUUAAACUUCAAAUUUGGGCCACCGCAUCACGAUUGGUGGUUUGCUCGCUGGUCUGUCAUGUGGGCAACAGUUUGUCAGAUGAACCACCAUAAUUUUUAGAAUCGAUCAGCUCUAUGUUUAUCUCGAUGGCUGUAGUGAUGGUCCAUCGCUUGUCUAAAGGGCAAUCUCCCCUCUCUUCAUAAUUUUCAUAGAUUUUGAUUAGUUGGGACGUCCAGGGUGAUGGUCCACCAAAGCCUCGAUGAUCUGUCAGUUGGACCAUUACCCAGUUCCUAUUUUUUCUAUUUUUCUAUUUUUUGGUGAUUUUUGGUGCGAAAUAUUCCCCAUCACAGGCUCCUUUAUCUUAAAGUUUUGAUAUUUCUUGCCUUUGAGUUUGAUUCCUGAGAACUAGCACAAAAUACAUUCAAACACUAAUAAUCAUUGGAAAACCUGAAAUUAUCCUUCUUUGAUGAUGAAAAGUGUAUCAUCUUGAGUAGGUACAUCAAGGGUUCCCUAAAAGUACUAAAAAGACAUUCCUUCAGACGAUUGAUUCCACGAUCGUCCAAUAAAGGUACAAUUUUACCUUUCGAUCAUAGGAUCAUCACCAAAGUAUGAGGAUAUGUCACAUCAUAUGAGUGCAUACCAUGAUCGUACCUACACAGGAUGAUCGUGUGAUGUGAUUGUAUAAUGAGAACUUAUACAUUAGACACUUGUACCCUAUAAUUAUAUAACCUAUGAUAAUAAAUUAAAACCAUGAUUCUAGGUUAUGUCAUGGAAUACUCCCAAAAUAUCAUAUUUCAGCAUAAGUUUUUGACCCUCUUUGGACCUUAAUUUACCAUAAAUUUUAACAAUGUAGGGUACUCAAGACUUUCAUUUUGUUCUUAUACUCAUUCAAACUCAUAUGUUCCUACUUAUUUAUAAUUUGGACAUCAAAAUUUUUACGCCUAUCAAUGGAUAAUAAUAGAAAGUUGAUAGUUGUAGUGGAACUUAUAAAUCUUGUGAUUCUUACUCUUAAGUUAAAUUUGAAUGUGAUUGGCUUGAGAGAAGUUUGAGUAUGAAUAAUCUUAGAAUAGGUAUCGAAUCUUAGAUAUAGGGUUUAGGGUUUUAUAUUUGAGUUAGGUCAAGUUGGGCUAUGACUUCAUUAAACUGAAUGACCCAAUAAACAAAUCAAUUAUACAAUUGUGGUAAUGAUCCAUGAUCGUGAAUUUCUCUCGUACCAUGAUAUUUUAAGAAAACUUACCUAAGAACCUGCAAAGCUUAAUGAUGAUCAUGAUAUCUAACAACGAUCAUUACUUAAACUCAUAGGUUCAAUGCCCACAAUGAUGACUUGUAGGAGUUUGAUCAAAUGAUAGCUACCACAAUCGUGACAUCUAAGUAGGAUCGUGAUGACCCAUCGUAGGAUAACUACCAAUUAUGUAACCCGCAGGGCUUUUAUAUAUGUUUCUUAGACGAAUGAACCCAUGAUUGUGGGAUCUUCCCUUGUUUGUACAAUUCUCCUGUUAUUUCAUCCAAGGUCUAGUUCAGCAUCUCAUCUUUCCUGCACAAUCCCUGCACCAUUACAAAAUAUUACCCAAUAAAAUAUAAAGUACAAAACAUAGGUUACCUCCUAAGAAGUGAUUAAUUUAGAAUUGAUGAAUGACAUGGAUAAAUUGGUUGUUCAAAUAUCACUAACUAGUACAUGGGGUGUCUCUCAUGAAGCACUUAAUUUAACAUCUCAGCAUGACCUAACUCCUUUGACUACUUAGAUAUCAUCAAGGUCUAAUUUCUCACAUGACCUCAUCUCUUCUAUGGUUUCCACAUAGUGCUUCACACGCUGGCCAUUUACUUUGAAUAGGGCACCACCAUAUCCUUUUAGAUCAACUUCCCCAUAUAGAAAUACCCUCAAAAUAGUGAAUGGUCCGAACCAUUUGCACCUCAACUUGCCAGGAAACAAGCAAAGUCUUGAAUUAUGAAGCAAAACCAAGUAACCCGAGUGGAAUUCUCUUCACUCCAUUUUUUGGUCAUAGUAAAAUGUCAUAUUUUCUUUGUAUAAGAAAGAACUAUAAUAGGCAUAGAGACAAAACUCAUACAUCUCAUUCAUCUACUCAAAUCUCAAUUUCAACAUAUCACUCCAUUCCAUAUUAAGCCUUUUUAAUUCCCACAAUGCCUUAUGCUAAAGUUCAAUAUAAAGUGGCAUGUUUUUCCAUAAACAAGAUGAAAGGGAUAUGAAUCUAUAGGGGUCUUGAAUUUUGUUCGGUAGGCCCAUAAUAGGUCAUACAAUCUUCUAGACAAAUCUGUUCCAUUGGCAUUCAUAGACUUUGCAAAUAUAAACUCGAUCUCUCAAUAGAAGACCUCAACCAACCCACUAAUCUGAGGAUGGUGUGGUAUUUACACCUUGUUCUUGACACCAUAUUUAUCAAAAAUGGUUUUGAAGAGAUAGUGUUAGAAGUGGGAGCCUCCAUCACUAAUGAUAGCUUGAGAUAUACAAAAUCUAGAGAAAAUAUUUUUCUUCAGAAAGGUUGUGACGUUUUUUCCUUCAUUGUUAGAAAACCCAAUUUCUUCCACCCAUUUGGGCACAUAAUCCACAACCACACAGAUGCAAUUAUUACUAUGUGAUCUCACAAAUGGUUCCAUAAAUUCAAUACCCCAAAUAUCAAAUAACUCAAGCUCAAGGAUAGACGUCAUUGGAAGUUCAUGUCUGCACUAGAUGUUUCCUUUCCUUUGACAUUGGUCAUAAUCCCUAUCAUAAUCGUGUUCAUCUUCCUAAAUGGUAGGCCAAUAGUAACCGCAUUGAAAGAUCUUAUGCACAAUCUGCACACCUCUAUAAUGACCCUCAAUUGGUAAGGACUGACAUGUCUCUAAGAUAAUUAUUUUCUCAACCUCAUGUGAACAUCUCUGGAUCACUCCAUUUGUAAAACUUAAAAUAAGUAUGAGUUAUUCUAAAAGAACUUUCUCACCUCAUGCAUGAACCACUUUUGCUGCUGAAACGACAUAUCUUCUAGAACUAGAUCACUCACCAAAUAGUUGAAAAUCUGCAAAUAAAGGGAUUAAGUCCUGUGAUGCUGCCAAGACCUGCUCAUCUAGGAAAGUAUUAUCAAUUUCAAUCUCAUCCCCUAGUUUUAUCAUUUCCUCCUCUUUAAGGGAUAAUAAAUGGUUCACUGCCUGAUUCUCAGUCCCCCUUUGUUCCGUGAACUAACAGUUAAAUUCCUACAAAAGAAGUACUCAUCUAAUCAAUCUUAGAUUUGAAUCCUUCUUGUUUAUAAGGUAUAUAAGAGUUGCAUGGCCAGUAUACACAAUGACUUUAGUGCUAAUCAAGUAAGAUGAAAACUUCUUGAAUACAAAUACAAAAGUAAGCAACUCUUGUUCAGUCAACGUAUAAUUCUUCUGAGCAUGACUAAGUGCUUUGCUAGCAUAGUAGAUGAGAUAUAAAAUCUUUUCUCACCUUUUUCAUAGGACUGUACCUAGCUCUACACCACUACCAUUGUAUAUAACCUUAAAUAACAAAGUACAAUCCAAAGACAUAAUGAUAGGGGAUGAAAUCAACCUCUCUUUCAAAUACAUAAACACUUUUUGACAUGCCUCAUAAAAUAUAAAUUUUACAUACUUCUUCAAUAACUUGCAUAAUGGAUUCUCAAUUUUAGAAAAGUCCUUGAUGAAUCAUCUAUAGAAACCUGCAUGUCCCAAAUAUCUACGAAUGCCAUUCAUAAAAAUAGGUAGAGGUAAUUUCUUAGUCACCUCAAUAUUUAUAUUCUUGACAUAAAUAACCUUCUUAUAAAUCUUAUUACUAAGAAUUAUACCUUCUUUAACCAUGAGGUGGAACUUUUCCAAAUUCAGCACAAAGUUAUAUUCCUCACCUCUUCCCAAAAUGUUGGUGAGUUGUACCAUACGAUCAUAAAAUAAGUCACCCACAACUAAAAAUUCAUCAAUGAAAACCACAAUAGUGUCCUUGAAUAUGUCCAAAAAUAUAGACAUGAUAUAAUACUAAAAGGUGGUUGGGGUCUUUCAUAGACCAAACGACAUUCUAUCAAACCCAAACAUCCCAUAUAUACAAGUGAGAGUGGUCUUAUCUUGGCCUUAAGGGGAAAUAUAAAAUUGAUUAUUUUAAGACCCCGUAAAAUCCUAAAGCUUAAUCCAGUCCUUUAAGCUUGUAAAGGGGUCCCAGACUUAGAAAAUUCUAGCUAGGUUCCUAGACUUAGCCUAUUAUUGGCCUUCAAAAGUUGGCAAUCUCAUUUUGCCACCUUAACAUCAUCCAAUGGUCCGUAUUUUUAUUAGUUCAUGAUCAGGAAGGUCAAGAGGUGUUCUUCGAUGAGUUUUAGAUUUUUCAGAAUACGUUUAGAUCAUGUUUGGAGUCCCAAAAUAGUGGACCAAUGCGAUCAUGGUGCUCCACAUCACCAAUUGCAUUGGUCAACAUUUGUGCAGGAUGCUAGAUCUAAAACUUCAAAGGCUCGACACGAUCAUGGUGUGAUGUAUCAAGUAUAGCGUCACAGCCAUUAACGUGUCGUGUCGCUUGUAUCAUCAGUACCCAAUUUUUAGUCAUUAAAUGUCUAUAUUUUUAAGGAAAAAAAAGUCAGUUUCCCAUCCUUAGAUAAAUCCAAUAACACAUGAUUUAGCCAUAUUUCACCCAAAAUGUAGAGUUUCUCUCAAGAACAAGUUAGGUUUUUCAAUUAAGGAUUCAAAUUCAAUACUCAAAUUCAAGAAUCUCUUUGUCAAUCUUUGUAAAAUCAGGAACUAAGGUAUGUUAAGUGUUGAUUUAUCAAUUCCUUUCAUUCAUGAAGUCCAAGAACCCUCUUUCAAAUUAUAAUUUAUGAUAUUUAUGUUGUGGGUUGUUUGUAACCAUGUUUAUCUUGUUGUAAGAUUCCUAAGUUGGAAUCUUUAUGAGUUUUCAUUAAACUACGUUAACAUGCAAGUUGAAAUCCAUGAAUUGAGUUGUUUAUGAUGUGUAAUUUAAUGAUUUCAGCUAUGCCCUAAGUUGUGCAUGUAGGGUAUUUGACAAAAUGUCUAGGAGGAUAGAAAUUGGAUAUUAUAGCUCAAUUGUGACUCAAAUAAUAAAUGCAUGCUUUACCAUUAUGACCAAGACUGACUUCCAUGAUAUUGUGUGCAUUAUGAGUAUUUAAUGGAAUCUUUAUGAGAUUAGGUUGACGAAAGUAUGACAUGUCUAUAUACAAUUCCAUCCAUGUACAACAUUAUGACAAUCAUGUGUUUUAUAAAAUCCCCAACUUAUUGUAUUGUGAAUUGUUGAUUUUGGUUAUGUGUUCACAAAGGGUAAAGUCUUGUUAGUUUCAUCCUAUCGAGUCCUGGGGGUACUUGUACCUAACAAUUUAGCUGUGUGCCUAGAGCCAGUGUUGGUUUUCAUGAUACUCCCAUUCAAGCCAUGAUCAUUAGAAUUAAGUCAGUCAUACGACUCAGGAAAACUCUAUAAUCUCAAUCAGUUAUUCGAUCUCAGUAGUAUUUCAUCAGUUAAUGGAAUUUAUUAAACUCUGUUCAAAUAAGCUAAAAGAUACUAUCAGUAACAGUUCAGUUCAGUGUCUCUUUAGUUGGGAGUGGGAUUCAGCACCGAGUGAACCCAAGGAUGGGGACUCACCUAUUAGCUAGUAGAGGGGGAGAUCCUUCGAAGCAAUCCUUACAUUGCAGAACUAUGUAGCCAGUGUAGGUUGAGAUGUACCCUAUGAGUUUAGGGAUUAGACACCUUAUUUUUCUUUUUCGUACUUAAAGGGGUUGAUGGAAGAGCUCCUUCUCAGAGAGGGUUUACUCACAGCUUUUCUUUACCCGUGGCACAGUACUGACUUCUUUCCAGCUGGGGUUAUAGGUUGGACCCCACCAGUUCAAUUUUGGGGCAUGUCAGUUAGAUGAUUACCUCCCACAGUCUCAGUUUUGGAUCCAGGCUCAGUAAUAUAAUUCAGUUCAAUUCUACAGUUACAGGACUGUCAGAUACAGUCGCUCAACUCAGUACAAAACUUAGCUAGUUCCAUUAGAAUUAGGACUAUUAGACACAGUCACCUAGUUAAUAGUAUAUUAAUUACACAAAAUUCAUCUUACCGGUAUUCAAAUUUUAGGAAGGACUGUCAGAUAUAGUCAAUCAUACCAGUUCUUCAUAAUCAGAGCUGUUAGAAAUAGUCAUUCCUUUAUCAGUAAUAUGAAAUUAGUUCCUCAGUACUCAAUAGACUUAGUCUUUCAGUAUCCCAGUAUUAGUACCCAGAUAUUAAUAAAUCCACGUUAUCAGAAUUCAUGAGUCAGUAUUAUUACGAUCUUAGAUACAGUUACGUAUUCAUACAUAUAUUCUCACGUUUAUGUUAUUUAGUCAGUUAGUGUUGUUUAUGAAUAUCAACCAUUGUAUUUAGACUACCUCACUUAUAUACCAGUACAUUCAAUAGAACUUACGUAUUUGCACUAUGGUGUUUUAUAAUAUAGGUUCAGAAGCAUGCGCUCUAGAGUAUCAGUAGCAUUCUAGUAGCAGCAGUCAGAGUCAGUAGUGAGUCCUCAUUAUUUUAGGAUGUUAUUAUUUAAUUAUUUUAUUAUUUUAGUACUUAGUUUAUUUUAGCAGAUGGGGUUAGUUGGGGGAUUGUCCCAUCAUCUCUUUAUUCAGAUAGUUCAGUUUUAGAGGCUUUCAGACUACAACAUGUUUAGAUAGUUAUUUCAGUUGUAUUGGUAUUAUUAUACCAUAUUUUCAGUUAUGUAUUAGUAUUGAACCUUAUGGCAUUUUUUGUCAUGUUUCUGCAGUUAUGAUAUUACUAUUAUUAUUCAAGGCUCAGUUAUAGAUACCAGUCAUGGGUUAGCUUGUGGUCCUUCGAGAUUAUGAGUAUCGUGUAGCAUUUUGGGUACCAGAUUUAGGGCAUUACAAAAUUGGUAUCAAACCCUAAGGAUCAAUAACAUCCUAAGUAGUCUGAAAAGCUGCAUCUUGUAGAGUCUUAUACAUGGGUGUGUUGUACACCACACCUAAGUGCAGGAGGUUAUGAGAUGUUUUAGGAACAAUUUUCCUGCUUUUAGUAUUCAUGUUAUGUAAGUUAGGAUGAGCUCCAGUCAAACUCUCAGUUUAGUCCCUUCUUUUGUUUCGUUUACAAAACAUGCCUCUCAAAAGGGCUAAUAAAAGAGGAACAGGGAAUCAGUUAGCACCUUAGCCCAUCCAGGCAGAUCCUCUAGAUGAGCACAUCUCUCAUGCAGAAUUAAGAAAUGCAUUCACUACUCUAGCCAAUUAAGUCAUAGCUUAGAAUGACCGACUAGAUGUUGUUCCGAUGAACCUAGUGGCCAAUUCUACUGCAGCUAGGAUUCGAGAAUUCACCCAAAUGAAUCCUCCCCUAUUCUUCAAUUCUAUGUCUAAAGAGGAUCCACAGGAGUUCCUCAAUAAGGUUCAGAAAGUCACAGAUAUCAUCGGAGUGACUUCCAGUAAGAGUGUAGAGUUAGCCAUCUAUCAACUACAAGAUGUAGCCCAUAUGUGUUUAAGCAGUAGAAGGUAGACAGGGGUACAGAUGCAGAGCCCAUAGAAUAGGAAGAGUUUGCGACGGAUUUCUUUGGUAGAUUCUUUGCCCUAGAGCAGAAAGAAGCCAAAGUUUUAGAAUUCAUCAACCUCAGACAAGGUAGAAUGAGCAUAAAAUAAUACUCUCUCAAGUUCACUCAGUUAGCCAGAUACGCUCCUUAUGUAGUAGCAGAUAAUAGAUUUAAAAUAAAUAAGUGUGUUUUUAGGAUAUCAGGUAGAGUGGUUAAGGAGUGUAGUACUGCGAUGUUGAUUAAGGAGAUGGACAUAUCUAGGCUUAUGAUCCAUGCUCAACAGAAAUUAGGUAUUAUAGCUCAAUUGUGACUCAAAUAAUAACUGCAUGCUUUACCCUUAUGACCAAGACUGACUUCCAAGUGCAUUAUGAGCAUUUGAUGGAAUGUUUAUGAGAUUAGGUUGAUGAAAGUAUGACAUAUCUAUAUGCAACUCAAUCCAUGAACAUUAUGACAACCAUGUGUUUCAUGAAAUCCCCAAAUUAUUGUAUUAAGAAUUUUUUAUAUUGGCUUUGUGUUCACGAAGUGUCAUGUCUUGUCUGUUUCAUACUAUCGAGUCCUGGGGGUACUUGUACUUGAAAAUUUAGCUAUGUGCCUAGAUCCAGUGUCAGUUUUCAAGAUACUCCCAUUCAAGCCAUGAUCAUUAGAAUUUAGUCAGUAACAGACUCAUGAAAACUCAGUAAUCUCAGUCAGUUAUCCGAUCUCAGUAGUAUUCCAUCAACUAACAAAAUUUAGUGAACUCUAUUCAAAUCAAAUAAAAGAUACUAUCAGUAAUAGUUUAGUUCAGUUUAAAUCAGUUGAGUGCUCUUUAUUUGGGAGUAGGAUUCAGCACUGAGCGAACCCAAGGAUGGGCUCACACCUAUUAGCCAGUAGAGGGGGUUAUCCUUAGAAGCAAUCGUUGCAUUCUAAAACUAUGUAGCCAGCGUAGGUGGAGAUGUACUCUACGAUUUUUGGGAUUAGACACCUUAUUUGAGUUUUUCCUACUAGAAUGGGUUGACGGACGAGCUCCCUGUCAGAGAGGGUUUACUCACAUCUUAUCUUUACCCAUGGCACGGUACUGACACCCUUCCAACUGGGGUUAUAGGUUGGACCCCACCAGUUCAGUUUUGAUGCAUGUCGGAUAGAUGAUUACCUCUCAUAGUCUCAGUUUUGGUUCCAGUCUCAAUAAUAGAACUCAGUUCAAUUCUACAGUUUCAGAACUGUUAGAUAUAGUCACUUAGCUCAGUACGAAACUCAUCUAGUUCUAUCAAAAUUAGGAUUGUAAGACAUAGUCAUCCAAUUAAUAGUAUAUUAAUUAUACAAAAUUCAUGUUACCAGUAUUCAAAUUUCAGGACUGUCUGAUACAGUCAAUUAGACCAAUUCUUCAUAAUCAAAACUGUCAGAAAAGUCAUUCCUUUAUCACUAAUAUGACAUCAGUUCCUUUGUACUCAAUAGACUUAGGCUUUCAGUAUCCCAGUAUUAGUACCCAGAUAUCAGUAAAUCCAUGUUAUCAGAACUCAUGAGUCACUAUUAUCACGAUCUCAGACAUAGUUAAGUAUUCAUGCAUGUAUUCUAGCGUUCAUAUUAUUCAGUCAGUUAGUAUUGUUCAAGUAUAUGAACCGUUGUAUUCAGCUUACCUCAAUUGCAUACCAGUACAUUCAAUUGUACUGACACAUUUGUGCUAUGGUGUUUUAUACCAUAGGUUCAGAAGCAUGCGCUCCAGAGUAUCAGUAGCAUUCCAGUUUUAGCAGUCAGAGUUAGCAGUGGCUCCUCAUUAUUCGACGAUGUUACUAUUUAAUUAUUUCAUUAUUUUAGUACUUAGUUUAUUUUAGCAGAUGGGGUUUGUUGGGGGAUUAUCCCAUCAACUCUUUAUUCAAACAGUUCAAUUUUAGAGGCUUUCAGACUACAACAUGUUCAGACAGUUAUUUCAGUUGUUUUUGUAUUGUUAUACCACAUUUUAGUUAUGUAUCAGUAUUGAACCUUAUGGCCUUUUAGUUCACAUUUCCGCAUUUAUGAUAUUACCAUUAUUAUUUAGGGCUCAGUUAUAGAUAUCAGUCAUGGGUUAGCUUAUGGUCCUUUUGGAUUAUGAGCACCGUGUAUCAUUUCAGAUAACAGAUUCGGGGAGUUACAAAAUUACCCUAAAUAACCAUCUAGAAAACCAUAUCAUUCUCCACCAACAAGAUGCUCUAACAUAUGUUCUAUUAAAGGCAUAAGAAAGUGAUCCUUCUCGGUCCAUGAAUGUAGUUUCCUAUAGUCCAUGCAAACCCACCAUUCAAUGAUUGGCCGCAUAGAAAUUAGCUCAUUCCUCUCAUUGGGGAACAUAGUGAUUCCACCUUUCUUUAGCAGACAUUAAAAUGGGCUCACCCAUUUUCUAUCAGCAAUCAGAUAAAACACAUUGUAUCCAAUAACUUAAUGAUCUCUUUCUUCAUAGCCUCUUUCAUCGUGGAUUCAAUCUCCGUUCGUUCUCAUUGUAGGUAUACAAUCUGGAUCUAGUUGGAUUUUAUGAGCAGAAAUCCUAAAUGGAAUGCCAAUAAUGUUAGUAAUGGACCAUCCAUCGGUCCUUUUGAACCUCUGCAAAAUAAACAUUGAGGUGUCAAUCUACCACUCUAAUAAAUAAGCUUCAAUGAUAAACUAGUAUGGUAUUGAUGUCCCCAAUAAAUACAUAACCGAGAUGAGAGAAAAGGCCUUGAGAUCUAAAACAAAGGCUUCUCAAUAGACGGUUUGGCUGGUGGGGUUACUCUAUUCUUCAGAUAUGGAUCUAGCUUCUUUGUUGUAUAUGUGUAUGAACCUCUACCAAUAAGUGCACUCACCAUCUCAUCAUACUAGUCAAUACCAUCAUUGUCAAAAUUUAUUAUAACUGCUACAAGUGCCUCAACACCGAGUCUUUCUUUAAUAGGAACUACUAACUCAUCCUUAUCUAUGGUAUCUAUCAUAGAGAUCAUAAGCAUAUCAUGUGGCUGCUUCAUAGAUAAGCUUACAUUAAAAGUAACUUUCUAAUUAUUCAACCAAAACUUCAUCUUACCAAUAUCUAUAUCAACCAAUGCUCAUCCAUUAAAAGGUCUUCCCAAUAUAAUGGGAACCACAAAGUCAACCUCACAAUCAAUAAUUACAAAGUCAGCCAGAAAUAUGAAAGAUGCCACUUUCACCAAGAUGUCACAUAAGAUUCCCAUUAGUUUUUCACAGUGUGAUCUGUCAUUAAAAGUCUCAUAGAGAUUAGUUUGGGUGACCUCAACCUCAACUACUUGUAAACUAUUAGCAGCAUCAAGUUAAUACUAGCACCCAAGUCACAUAAGUCCCUUGCAAAAUUCUAAGACCCAAUAGUAGAAGGAAUUAUAAAGUCUCUCAAAUCAUCUUUCUUCUAGAGAGAGAAAAGAAAUUGAACUACAAAUGGUGUACGUUAUCCACAGGCUCAAAAUUCACUGUCCUCUUAUUUGUCACUAAAUCCAUCAUAAAUUUCACAUAACUUAGUUUUUGCUCUUGCGCCUCUAUAAGAGAGAUAUUUAUCAAAUACUCUUUCAGCAUUAAAAUAAACUUUUGACAUUUUCCCUAUUUGACCUUAUUUUUAAAUCUUUGAAGAUAAAGAGGAGUAUGUCAUGGAAAAGGCUUCAAUACUAGGGUGACCUCCUUAAUCUUUUCUUUAUCAGACUUAGGCCCUUUUUUAACAACUAUAGCUUGUUGAGAUGCAUCCUCAUUCACCACCAAUUUUUUGGAUUUAUUCUCAUCUAUAUCAUGAAUUUUCAUAAGGGUUAUCCUUUAAUCAUAAAUCAUAGAAAUAUAUGGAUUAGUAGUAUCCUUACCUCUCCAAGUAGUGAUGACUAGGCAAUGGCUAUCAUUCUUAGGAUUCUGGAUGGUAUUUCUCGAGAGUGUUCCAAUUAAUAUUGGCUCAGUGUGGUGGACAUUUUCCCAAAUAAUUUCUCAAACUGCUUAAUGACAGUCGCAGGAGACUCAACUUUUUAGAUCAUACAAAAAAUUUCUACACUUAUAUCUUUAAAGAAGUUUGCUUGACUCUCUGUCUCCUUAACAAGUUUUUCCAGGAAGGCUUCUAUCCUCGAAUUUCUAUACUUAGCUUUCCUGUAAAACAUUAAGGACACUCUUAUCUUUAUAAUUGUCUUUCUACUUUCAAUCACCAUCUAUAUCCCUACUCAUGACUCUAUACCCAAACCUAUUGUAGUAGUCCUUAACUUAUUCCAUGUAGUAAUAGAUCCAUAAGGAAACUCAUCUAACCAAAGAGUAGCUUCUCCUUUAAGAGGGAAUGGAAAUAACCUCAGACGAAUAGCAUCCUGGCUCACUCCAAGUAGAUUAUAUAAAGUGCAGAUCUCCAUAAAGUUAAUGAUAUACAUUUUUUGCAUCAUUAGUAGGAAGGGAAACAAAUACCUAUUUCAAAUUCCACAGCUGGAUCAUUACCUUGAGGCAAUUCUAGUGGAAUGAUAGCACCUGUUUCAAUCAACCCUAUAUAUCCCAAACUUCUUCUACAUUGUCAUAAAUAGGAAGAUAUUGUUUGAUGGGUGGUUUUCUCUCACAUCAAGUGCAUAUAGAUGAUCUACAUCUUCUUGUCUAUCCCUAUCUUCCCUUAUUGCUCGUCGGUAGCUUCGUCCCAAACCAUUAAUAAUGUAGUAACUUGUUUUGCCAUUUUCUGAACAUCAUGUUGGUGUAGUGGCUGAUUCAAAGUUUUUGGGUCAUCAUGAACCCCUUGGGCAGGGCUCCUUAAUCAUGAAUAUCUCUCUCCAUCUUUUAAAUUUGUAUUAGAGUUAUCUCGAGUACACGAUCAAAUAGAAUCAGGGGAUUUCCUUGACUCCGAGUAUUGGGCAUACAACGAUAUAUGUCCUAUAAAUAGUAUAAAAGUAAAAUCAGCAAACAAAACCAGUAACCCAACAAAUAAAAGCAAUCAACUCCACAAUUGUAUUCCCUGGCAAUGAUGCCAAAAUUUGAUAUCUCCCAAAUUACACCUCCCAAAAAGUAAAAAAAAAAAACAGUCACUGAAUUAUAUAAUAAAACACAACAAAAUUGGGGUUGAACCCACAAGGAAUUGGAAAAAAUUCGAUUAUGUAUUUUUCUAGUUACUUGUGAAAGAAAAAGACAAUUAUAAAAAUUAUUAGUUAUUGGAGAUGUAGUCAAUAUGAUAAAGAACUAGGAUUGUGUUGGGUUUCUUGUGCUUGCAAACUAUUCUGAUGCAUUGUAUGCAAAAUAUAAUAAAAUAGUUUCUUUUAAAUAGAUUUCGUCCUUGGUUAGAUGAACUUCACUCUUUUCCUCUUGGACUCCAAGUGUUUCAAUACUAACCCCUAUUCUUGACCUCAAAUUAACUAUUUUUGUUAUGGCUCAAGUUAUUAGAUGAAGGUUUAUAGCUUUAAAUUUCUUUUGGUAUUUAAUUUUCCUCAUCUUUGUCUCUCUCUCUCGAGCAAGUUUAGAAUACAUCAAGUUCCAAACAUUUGCAACCAUUAGAAAAAUAAUCAUUAUAAUGUAAAUACCAAUGCAUGCAGGCACACCAAUUUACAAUUGCAUCGCACAUAACCUAUCUCAUUAAUUCAUCAUGGUUAGCACAGCCCUAGAUAUGGUGUUUAGCCAUGCAUAAUUUCAAGAACAUAAGAAAAAUUCAUAUAAAAAAACAUUAUUAUGAACUCAUAAUAAGAAUAGAACUCCAAAUCUCAAUAUCAAUUAAAACCUUAGAAAUGAUGUUAGUAAUAUUCCGUGAAUAUGCCUUAGAAUCUCAAAAUGUAAUGUUGAAAAAUAUAAAGUAGUGUAAACUCACACAAUAAACCCCAAAGGAGUAUUUAUAGAAUCGAUGAGUAUAAUAAAUAUCACGAUAUCAUCAUCAUAACCACCACCUUUACAACCAUCAUCAUCAUAAUAAUUCUCAGGACUUGUUGGGUAUAUAUAUGUAUAUAUGAUAACCAUAGGGAUAGCCAAACUUGAAUCGGUAUAUAUACACAUAGGCAUAUCAAUAUAAGCAUUCUCUAGACUUGUUGGGUAUCAAUUCAUCAUCACAACAAUCUUUCGUCCUUGCCGGGUAUCAAUGAUUCAUCAAAAUAUCCUCUGACCUUGUCAGGUAUCAUCACAUCAUCAUAUAUCCUCCGACAUUUUUGGGUAUAAUUACAUUAUCAUAAUAUCCUCCGACCUUGUCGGGUAUCAUCAUAAUAUCCUACGGACUUGCCAGGUAUCAUCACAUUAUCAUAAUAUCCAAACUAAUAUAAAUAGUAGAGAGCAUGUCCCACGAGGGAUAAAGUAAAUAGCAAGCCCCACAAGGGCUAGAGUAAAUAAUGAUGAAAAGAGAAGCAAGCUAGAGUAUAUUUCCAUAAUUCAUCAUUCAUCAUCAUCAGUAUCACAUUAUCAAUACAUAUAUAUAUAUACACAUAACAGAAAUAUUCUAACUAUCAUUGGGUUUUAACCAAAAUUUAUAUCAUCAAUACAAUAUUUUCCUCCGUCCCAUACCAGAGAGAUAUGUAUUUAGAUAUAUAGUAAGAGCACCGACUUAAGUUAUGGCUAAAAGGGUGUAAAUCUAUAAGUUUGUUGCCUAGAGUGAACUUUGGGACUAAAUAAUUAUAAAAAUGUAGAAAGGGUUGGAAUCUCUCACAACCAGAGUAGUUAGUAGUAACAAAUCAUAGACUGAGAUUUUCCUACAUCACAUAUUUUAAAACAUCAUUAUUAAUUGCUUUUACAUAUUAGCUAUUCAUAAAGACAAACAUUUAUUAUUAUGAAGAAAUUCUUUUUAAGGUAGAAAGUGGGCUUCAACCCUUAAUUAAUGACAACAACAAUAAUAUGAUAAUCUAAUCUAAAUUGUGUCAAUCAUCGAUGCAACGAUCAUGAAUUUAUCAAAUCUAUGCAUUCCAUCACUAGUAUUCAAACAAUAAAACCAUAACAAUUAAUAAAUCAAUAAACUACAAUCUCAUCAUUUACAAGUACAAACACUUCCGAGAUAUCUAACCAAUAUCAUAACACGGCCCUUGGCCCAAUAAUUUGUCUAGAAUAAUCACAACAUCAUAAUCACGGCCUUAGGACCAUAUACAUAUACAUAAAUCAUAUCAAUAAAUAUAUUAGUAAGUCAUCUCGUAUCCAUAAUCCAUAACACAACUAUAAGGCAUAAUAUAUCUUAUAAGCCAUAAGCAUAUUCGUGAUCAUCUUACACUAGGAGGCACAAUAUAAAAUAAGCAUCUUAUACCUAGGAGGCAUAAUAUAUCAAAAAGCAUCUCACAACUAGGUGGCAUACUAUAUCAAGAAGCAUCUCACAUCUAGGAGGCAUACUAUAUCAAGAAGCAUCUCACAUCCAGGAGGCAUACUAUAUCAAGAAGCAUCUCAUAUCUAGGAGUCAUACUAUAUAAAAAAGCAUCUCAUAUCUAGGAGGAAUACUAUAUCAAGAAGCAUAUCACAUCUAGGAGUCAUACUAUCAAUAAGUAUAUCACAUCUCGGAGGCUUACUAUCAAUAAAAAUCUCACAUUUAGGAGGCAUAUUGAAUAUCUAAGUUGUUAAAAUGUGAGGGGGUUGCACCACACUAUGAGAGACCAGGUCACUUAGAGUCAGACAUAGGCAAUAAAAUAGGAAAGCACUAAAAUUCUAAAACCUUGUAUGAAAGUAAAGAACACAAUGAUUUAACGUGGAAACCUCAUUGCUUAAGAGAGGAAAAACUACAGUUUGCCGUCAUAAAUGCUUAACAAUCCACUAAAAUCAAACUCUUGAUUACAGUAUCGAUUUAAACCUAACUCUUAGCUUAACUAGUUUGUAAAAAUUGUAUUACAAACUCUCCUUGACAACUUUGUAAAGAUCUUACCUCAAUAUUGAUUAACUCAAACAAAUAUCAAACUCAGGUAGCUCUACCUAAGCCUUCUUAGAACACAAGAAAAGCAUUACUCUAAUAACACGACCAAUUCAAUUAUAGACCAUGGCUUGACUGAAGAAGACUCACUCUUUAAGUACAUAUAGAAAUUAAGAACUUAAUCAAUGGUGCAAAGUUGAGGUUUUGCCUAUUUCUCACUUUUGUAAUUUGAUUUUGCAAAAACUCACCAAUUUAGAAGCAUUCUUUUAUAUUUAUAGUGGAAUAAUGAUUAGGGAAGAAAUUUGAUUGGGAUAGGUUCCCGGACUGGUACAUAUAUCACCUACGUAGUUUGUUACAGUAGGCUAAAAAAUAGUAUAGGCCAUGUCACAGCUGUACCUUUCUAUGAAUUAUAAGGGACCUAAUGCCUUGUUGUCAACUGAUCAUUAUAAAAAUAAGAUAUAGAAAUUUUCCCCCUUUUUGAUAAUGACAAAUCACAAAACUUUGACCAUCAAAUUCAUUCAUCUUACUCAGUCAAAGUGACUAACACUAUGGUCAGGGAAAUUUCCCCAAUCACUAUGCACCUCGCUUCGCCCUGUCAAUAUAUCAUGCAACUUAGGGACCUGGUCAUUUGUCGUCAAUUGACCUCAAAAAUCAUUCACUAUGUUUCUAUGUUCCCCCUGUCAUUAAUGUUCAUUUAGAUCAUUGUUCCACCUAUCACAUCAUAGUUCUACCAAUCACAUGCACCAUAUUCCCCCUAUUAGUAAGCCACCAUACUUUACCAGCAUUCAAUACAUAUGCACCUGGAACCAGGUCACUAUCACAUGAAUUCAGUAUUCCCCCUUUUGGCAACAUUAAAAAGUGGUAAUAGCAAACUAAGAGAAAAAUAAGCACAAGUUAGUUAACUCAAAGCCACCGGGGCAACACUAUCAGAAAGAACAACUUUAUAAAUAAAUAUGAGACACAUAAAACAUACAAACAUAAAAGAUUUAUUCAUUUUCAAGUUAGAUCAGUAACAUUACAAGCAUACCAAACUAAACAUAAAAUUUCUACUUCAACAAAAUCCACUUCAGAAACAAGAACUGAAAAUUGACAUAGGAAUAACAAACUGACUCAAAGAUGAUAGGACUUAGGUAAAGAGGGAAUUAGGGGAGAAGGACUUCAUUAAAAACUCCAUUAUAGAACUCCCUACAGCAUGAGCAUUGAAAAAUUUCUUAGUAAGGUUUUUAACUUCGUCAUUCAAACCUUGAACCUCCUAAGUGAGUUCUGUAACCUUGAUGUGGAGUUUAUAUUUUUUGCUGGAAGUUCCUCUGUGGCACUAGGUCUCUUUGAGGAUAACUUCUAAUUUUGCAUCUUCAAGUACACUAUCUCAGCAUCCUUAGAAGCCAACUUAAUCCCCAUAUCCUUUAUUUCCUUGCUUAGAUUCUACUAAGCAACCAAUAGCUAUAACACUUGGGACACAAUUCCUACUUUUUCUUCUGUGCAUUAAUUUUCCACCAAUAAUGUUUGACUAAACCUUUAUUUGACUGUUCCAGGUGUUUCUUUAGUCCCAAUUACUCUAAAGUGAUCAACUACCUUAUUUAAGAAGUACCCAUACAAUAUCCCAUGACUUUUUUCCUUCUCAAUGAUAAAUUUAUUCUUGUACUUGAUCUUAGAAGCAGGCCGACUUAUCAGCUCAAAUUUUCUCAAACUCUCUAUCAGAAAUAGAUCAAUAGCAGAUGCAAUGGUCCUUUUCUCUGACCUGGUCUAAAGAACCUUUAUCACAAAUUCAAACAGUAAAACUCACUUGUGAGAAAUUUCUUUCUCAUAUAAGCUAUUGAUGUUCCUUCUACCUUAGAAGAAAUAAUCAUGAACUCAGUUUUGGCUUGUUUCUUUACAACAGUCCUCACCCCUAUAACUAGCACAUCCAAGAUUUUCCUUAGUGACUCUUCAUCCAGUCUGAUUUGUUUUCCUUGCACUUGGGUAUUCAAGCUUAACUUAUUAUCUGAGAAAUCCAUUAUAUAAUAGAAUUCUCUUACUCUCUCUUCAAAAACCAUGGGAGCUGACUCCUCGAAGAGGUAUAGACAUCCUACGAUCAAAUAUUCUACUAGACAAUACUUUUUGGGUUUCCAAGAUCACAUUUCUUGCUUCUCUAGAUGCUAACUUCUUUUUUUUCUCCUUUUUUUCUUCUUUUGGAAUCACUACUUGGUUCCACUUCAACAACUUUUCUCUUCUUGGGACUAGGUCCUUUAGAUAUUUUUUUCUUUUUUCACGUCAAUUUAUUUACUCUUUAUUCCUAUAGGGAUACCAAACUUUAUACGGGAGGACUAAUUCUUCCUAAGACAUAAACUUCUUGUUUUUUUUUCACAGUUGCAAUAACAACAUCAAGAUUAAUGCCCUCAUCCUCUCUAACCUCAAAAAGUUCAGCAUUCUCCUCCUCUAUUACAGUAGCUUUCUUCAGUCUUCCUCUCUUAUUAGUAGAAAUCUUGCUAUCUUACAUAGCAUCAAUUAACAUCUUUAUCUUAGAUCCCCAAGCAAAAUAUAAUCUAACAACCUUUGCACCAGCAUCAACCAUUUUUCCUUGCCUUUGCUUCCUUUUUGUUUCUUUAUAGAUCACCUCAGAGGUAGUUCAUCCGCAUUACCUCCUCCUCUCCAUUGGAGGUAGCAUAAAUUUUCCUUUAUUUGAACUAUCAUUCUUUUAAUUUACUACCAGUUCUUCCAUAUAAGAGGAUCACAAGUAAAAGUAAGUCUUCAGCUACCUAAUUCACACUGCUAGAAAGAUAUUUUUUAUAGGUAUUUCUUCAUUUCACUAUUGAGCAAAAAUAGGAUUUAACUCAAAGGGAGUAGGAGAACUAGGUACUUAUUGAGUUUAUAAGAUUUCUAUUUUUUUUUCUUCUAAAAAAAUAGGAAUUUGAGAGUCUUCUAAGGAAGAAGGAACUUUAGAUUGAGGGAUUUUUUGUUUAAUUAAUGAACCAAAACCUAGAUUUAAAUCCUUUACCAUGGUUAACUCAACAAAAAUUUCAAUGGUUGAGGUAGUUUUUAUGGGGACAAACUCUUUUAGGGGUUCUAGAAUUUUUGAAGAUGAUUCAGUGGGUAGAGAUGACACAGGUUCUUUUACAAAUUUAAGGAGAUGUUUUAUAUAGUUUUGGGUGUUAAAGGAUCGGACAAUUUGAUUUGGGAUUAUUCAGAUUGAUUUUUUGGGGCUUUAUCAACUUUAGGAUCUUUAACAGGAGUUGAGGAAGUGAGAAUGUCUACUAUUUUAAAUUGUGUGUAAGAGAGAAUAGGACUAGUUCAGUUCAAAGAUGAAGAACGAUUGAAGAAGAUGAAUUGAGUUAAUUUUUGAAGAGAAUAAAAAGAAGAUAAAUUUGGUUUAGUGAUUUAGUAAGGUGACCAUUGUCAUUUAAAAAGUGACUUUUUGAAAUGAUGCAUCUGACUUUAACAGGUGCGACUCUUCACAUUGCUACGAAAUGACAACUUUUCUCAAAUAAGGAAUCACACAUGGCUUUUUAGAUAGAAUUUUAUGUAUAUAAAAGCACAUUGUUUUGGUACUAAACUGAGAGAUGGGACCAGCUCCCUGUCUUUUUAGAGUGAAUCCACAAAUUUGUGUCUACUUUAUUAUUGUCUUUCAAAGUUAUUCAUAUGGGUGUAUACCUGCAAAGUUAUAGUACUUAGUUAGACUAAUUUGUACCUACUUUACCAAGAAUACCUGUCUCCUGAUCAUAGCUAAUUUUAGAAAGAAAAAACUGAUUCAUUUCACAGGUCAGGUUAAUUUGAUCAAUUUCAGCCUUAAUUUAUUUGGUUCAGUGCACCUUUUCAUUCCAAAAAUUAUUCUGUCAAUAGGUCUGGGGACUAGGUCCAAAAGUUUCUUUCAAAUUACUGAAGCUCCUCCUUUAUUUCUUUAAUCAAGUCAGUAUUUUCUGAACUUCUUUAACAUUUUUGGGAUCAAUGUACAAUAAGAAUGUUGAUAAAGUCAUGGAAUUUUUGGUUUGAGCUCUUGUUUGGAUUCUAGUCUCCAGAGGAGAAUUUAGAUCAUCGAGGGGGUGAGACUAUCUAAGCCUCUAAUUUAACCUUUUGAGAUGAGUUUCACUAAGACCAGGUUACUUAAUAUUUUGACUAGACCCUUCUUGUAUUUUUUCUACUAUGUUGGGGUCUGUAACUAAGAUCCUAGAUCACCAUCACCUUCAUAAUUCUCAUAUGCAUCAUCUUGUCCUUUACCAUCAUUCUUUAGCUCCAUCAUCCCUUUAAACAAAAAUGAGUUCUUCAAAUUUGUAUUCUUCACCAUCAACUAGAUUUACUAUCUUUCCUAACUUAUUAAGGACCACAUGCGCAUUCUCUUAAAUACACAGAGUUCUUUUUAAUGAAAACUCUAUAUGAUUUACUAUUGAUGAUUAGCCGACUGUCAAUAAGUAUAGUAUAUACAAUCACUGUAAGGAUCCUUGUUCUUUCUUUCAACAACUCCAUUUUGUUGAGGAGUCUUUGGUGCAGAGAAGUUAUGAUGGAUUUUAUUUUCAGCACAGAGUUUUUCAACUUGUAAGUUCUCAGACUCAGUUCCAUGAUCAGAUCUGAAUUUAACAAUCUUACAAUUCAACUUCCUUUAAAAUUUCUUAGUAGAAGUGAUAAUAACCUCAUAGGUUUCAUCCUCGGUUCUUAAAAACAUAGUCAGGGUGAACCUAGAGAAGUCAUCCACAACAACAAACAUAUACUUCUUUCCUCUUCUACUUUGGACUUUAAUAAGUCCACAUAGACUCAUGUGCUGUAGCACAAGAGGCUAGAGUUACUCACCUACUUUUUUAGCUUAAAUGAUUACUUGGUUUGUUUUUCCUUAGCAUAAGAAUCACAAACGUUGUUGUAUGGAAAUUUUAACUUUGGCAUGCCAUGGACCAGUUCCUUUGAGAUUAACCUGUUCAACAAAGAGGAACUAAUAUGUCCCAGUCAUCUAUGACAUAAAUCAGCAUCUUCACUUUAAACGCUUAACCAAGUUAAUUCCCCAUAAGACAGAGACUCUAAAUCAGUCACAUACAUAUUCUUGGUCCUCUUGUCUUUGAGAAUAACUCUCCUAUACUUCAAGCUUGACACAGUAUGCCCAUCAGCUGAGAAUUUGACCUUAUUGCCUUUUUCAUAGAUUUGAGAAAUACUUGGAAGACUAUACUUGAGCCCAUUCACACAGUACACAUUUUCUAUGGCUUAAUCAUAUAUUUUUCCAAUCUUUCCCACAUAAUGAAUAUAUCCCUUUUUACCAUUUUCAAAAGAGGCACCUCUACCUUGAAGUGUCUUGAGAGAAAAAAAGCAGUCAGUCCUCCCUAUCAUAAGAUUUGAACAUCACUAUCCCAUGAACCCAUUUUGAUUGCAUUCUUCUCUCCCACCUACAACCAUAGCUAUUUUCUAGAUUUAGGAACCCACUUGAGUUUGAGUUCCCAGAAGGAAGACAAAGGUGUGAUAAAAUCUUUCUUACCCAAACUAGGUAGAGAGUUCUUCUUCAUAAUUUUUAAGGGUAUGAAACCCUUAGGAUAAUAAUUCUCCUCCUGACUAUAUCUAGCACAACUUAUUUUAGCUCUAUGCCAACCUUGCCAGAUUUCCUUCAAGUGUCUAUCUCUUCCAUAAUGAAUACAUACGAAUUUGUGGACCUUGCUUUUAUCAUCAUGAACAGCUUUACCUUGAGAUCCAAGUGAAUGAUUUUUAUACUAAUAUACAAGGCCUUUACCAUUAUUGACAACUUGACUAAUUAAAUUAGAAAGGAUUUGAGAGGAUGUGGUCCACUUAAGUUAUUUGUUAAGUUUUUCCCUCAUACAAACCAGGUUCCUUUUUUAUUCUUCAUUCUUAUUGAGAGUAUUCAUAAGAUGCUUUUGAGAAUCCCUAAACUUUUAUUCAAGCUCAAUUUGAAGCCUUGAGGAUUCUUUUGUCCUUUUACCAUCAGAAUUAUCCACUUUCUUCGGUUGAUUCAUUAAUCGCAGAUUUUCAGAUUUCAACUUAGUGAAUUGUUCCUCUAUUUCAGAUAUCUGGAGAGUUAAAGCAAAAAUUCAAUCUUUUGAUUGUAUAAUUUUUCUUCUAGAGCAUUUAUAUCAAUAAAAAGUUCACACAUAAAAUUAAUUAGCAUAUUUGUAAUCUUGUUUAUCUUCCAAACAGAGUAACAAUCUUAGUUUUCACUAAUAUCAGGGAGAGUUACCCCAUUUUCUUCUUCAUCUUCUAUGUUUUCCGUAAGAGAAAAUAAGGAAUCAUAGAUAAAAUCACUAUCAUCCAUACCUAUCAUAGACACAUCUUUAGACUUUUCAACUUCAUCAGAUUUAUUGGAGUAAUCUCCCCAGACUGCUAGGGCCUUCUUCAAUGCAUAAUGAACUACAGCCUUUCUUCUUUAUUUUACAAGUACCUAGUCCCUAUUCUUUCCUUUGUCACCUCCAGUCUUAAGAUAUUCCUGGUAAUCUAAUUUUUGUAUUGGACAGUCCAUAAUGAAAUGCUCAGGACUUUCAAUUCAUGGAAAACCUCAACAGUGCCUCUUUUUUUGCUGCUAUUUCCUCUUCUUUGAAACUGACCACUUUUGUCCAUUGCUCAAAUAAUUAUUUUUGGAAAAUAGGAAAUAUCAGUGACUCCUUCAGUUGAAUAUGACUUAGAAGUCUUCAAUGCCAGAGAUUUUUCAUUUGAUACUUUCCUCUUAUCUUGUCCUUGUUACUUCUUGAGUUUAUAUGUCUUCAGAUUAUCAAUAAGUUCAUCCAUAGUGAGAGAUUUCAAGUUCCUUGCCUGAGUGAUAGCAUCCACUUUAAUUUCCCAAAAUUUAGGUAGAACCCCCAAAACUUUUCACACCUAUUUGCACAAAGGAAUUACUUCUCUUAAACAGUUCAACUCAUUGGUGAUUGAAGUGAAUCUGAUAUGCAUUUCUUGGAUAGUUUCUCUUUCUUUAAUGGUGAAGGUUUCAUAUUGAGUAGUCAUACAUCAAGUUUUGAAGCCUUCACAUCAGUGGUUCCUUCAUGAGCUGUCUUCAGACAAUCCCAGAUUUCCUUAGAAUUUUCACAAGAAGAAAUCCUAUUAUACUUAUCUGGUCUUAUGACACAGACAAGCAAUUUCCUUGCCUUAUAAUUCUUUUCAACUUUUUUUCUAUCUUUAACAUUAUACUCUCUCCUAAUUUUAAUAACCAUUAUAGUUAUGUCUCUUUCUUUGACCUCUAUUACUAGCACAUGAGGACCAUAAAGUAUUACAUCCAUCCGCUCACUAUCCUCAGCUAUAAUGAAGUCAUACAUUCUUUUUUACCACCACUCAUAGAACUGCUCAUUCAAGCAGGGUAGUCUAGUGGUUGAUUGCACUUCUUACAAAUUAGGUAAAGAGUCCAUGAUAACCAAAUAAAUUUAGGUGUGAACCUUUUAUAGUGUUUUCGCUUUAAUAACAAUUGUUACAACGUGAGGGGGUUGCACUAUACUAUGGGGGACUAGGUCCCUUAGAGUAAGACACAAGCAGUAAAAGAGUAACACAUAGAGAAACUAAAAACUUUUAGGAAAGUAAAGAAAAAAAUGAUUUAACAUGGAAACCUCCUUGAUAAAGAGAGCAAAAACCAUAGAUUGCCCUCACAAGCACUCAACAAUCCACUAUAAUCAAACUCUUAAUUACAUACUCAAUUUGAACUAAAUAUAGCUUAACUAGUUUGCAACAACUCUAUUAAAAACUCUUGUUGACAAAUAUUUCAGUAUCUUACCUCGAUAUUGAUUGAAUUUAACCAAUAUUAAUCUCAACUAACUCUACCUAAGCUGUAAUACCCUAAAAAUCUAGACCACUAUUAGAACUAUGCUUCAAGCUCAUGCAAAAUAAAUUAUAGUGAUUUGGUAGUUUUAUGAGUGAGUUUGAUUCAUAUUAAGGCCUCAAAUAACUCCUAAAUUUUAGAUAAAUCAAAAUAUCUCUUACCGAUUGAGCUUGGAAAGAAUAUUGCUAUAGUAAACUUCAAAUAAGCAUAACUUUUGUAUUACUAAGAUUUAAGGAGCUCAAGACCCACCAAUAGAUACAUAAUUGAAUUAAAUUUCCAAUGAUACUAAUUAUUUCUUAAUUUGAUAUCGAGGUAAAACGUUAUGCUCGUUUAACUAGAGAGGUGUCUGUCUAUCGAGGUGCAAUGGCCAAGAUGAUGGACCAUUAAGCAAGUGAUGGACCGUCAAGCCAGUGGUGGCCCUUCAACACAAACCAUCAACCUUAGAUAUCAAGGUCAAAUUUUAGCCAUAUAUUGAUAGUUGGAGUGAUGGUUAGUCACCAGAGUAAUGGUCGCUCACCCAAACCAUCAACCAGGGUCGUUCAGUGAUUGAAUGAUGUUUUAAAUGGGAUUUUUUGGUCUUUUCCAACCCUUUUAAACCCUAUUUCCAUCAACUUAAACAAGAUAAACUCCUCAUUCACUCUCAACAUCAAAUUAGAUUAUCCUUUCAAGAUCAUUCCCCUAAAACAAGAUUCAAGCCCUUCUUUUCAAGAAAACCAAAAAUUUGUGCUUCCUAAUGCAAGAACAUUCAAAAAAAGUUAAUUCUAUUUCAAUAUUAAAGAUUUAAGGUAAGUCAGAUGUUCAUCCAGGGGUCCUUUUCACCCAUGGAGUCUAAGAACUCAUAUUGAAGUUCAAAGUUAUUAUUUUUACGCGUUAAUAUGAAUUAUAUCCAUGAAAUUUCAUGAAUUUUGAUUAUGAUCAUGUUUAUAAUUUAUUUUGGUUGAAAUUACCCUUAAUAAGUGAGAAUGGUGAUAUUCACUUGUUAAGUCCUUAACCCAUGUUUUUAAUAUUGAAAUUAUGUGAUUAUUUCAUUAUUUAAAUAUUCCCAUGCUUUAACUCAUGACCCAUAUGUGUUUGAAGAAAUGCCUAGAUCAAUGGGUUUUAAACAAUGACUACUUAUGAUAUCCUCAAAGUUGUAUUAUGGUUCUAUAGUUAAUGCUAUCGAGUCCUGGGGUUAUGAAUACCCGAAAACUUAACUAUUUAAUUAGUCUCGGUAUCUUCAGAAUGGUUUUAAAUAUGUCAUGAGCAUUAUCAGUUUAGUCAUCAUAAUCAGUUAAACUAAGAUUAGUUCAGUAUUCUGAGUCAGUUCAGUUGGAAGUAGGAUGUAUAACCAAGAAAAUAUAGGUAUGACGUCUUCCCUAUCAGUUAGGCAGAAUUAUUUGUAGUAGUCCCUAUAUUCCAGAACUACAUAGCUAGUGCAGGAUAUGAGGAGUCACCCAUUAGUUUAGGAUUGACUUCCUCUCAGGGGUCACCUAUCAGUUUAGGGUUGACACCCUGGUCCUUCGGGACAUCAGUUUAGUGGAUCCACAUAGCCAUUGUUAGUACCGUGGCACAGUACUAGCACCCUUCCAACUGGGGUCAUAGGUUGAACCCUAAUUAGCUCAUAUUGGGGCAUGUCAGUUGUAUGAUAGCUUCCACAAUCUCAUGCCAGUAUUCAGUAUAGAAUUCAAUUUCAAGUUUUCUUGACCAUAGGAUACAGUUACCAGUUAUUCAGCUAUCAGUUUGUCAGUAUUUCAGUUUACAGACUAUUUCAGAAUCAUAUUAUAUACUUGGUAAUGCAUUCUCAUAUUUCAUAGUUUUCAUGCAUUUAUAUUCAGUUAUCUCAUGCAAUUCAUUCAAUCAGUUAUUAUUCAUGCACAUGAACCCAUGCAUAUUAUCCUAACCUCAUCUAGCAUACCAGUAUAUUCAAAGUACUGAUUGCAUAUCGUUUCUUGCUCUAUGAUGUUCAAUAUCAUAGGUCAGGACGCUUAGGUUCUAGAUCGUACUUAGACAUUCUAGUGCAUCAGCAGUAGCAGCAACAGUGGUGAGUCUUCAUCUAUCGAGGACAUAGUUGUUAUUUUAGUUUAUUUCAGUAUUUUAUUUUAAUUUAUCAGUCAAAGUUAGUUGGGGCCUAUCCUAUCUACUCUCUUUUAGAUAGUUUUAGAGGCUUUCAGACAUUUUAGACAGUCAAUUACUUUUUGGUCUUUUCAAUUAGAUUUUUAAUAUUUUUGUAUAUGUUUUAGACUUUUGUAUUUUCAGAUUUAAAACUUUAAGGCAUAUUCAGUUAUUCUACAUAUAUGUAUUUCAUUAUUAUUAUUUAGUGCUCACAGUAGGUACCAGUACAUGGGUUAACUUGUGGUUUUUCGUCAUCAUAAACGCUAUGUGGCAUCCAAGGUGUAUUUUUAGGCCAUUACAAACUUGGUAUCCGAGCUUAAGGUUUUGGAGUAUCCUAGGGAGUUUGAAAGUCACAUUGAGCAGAGUCUUAUGCAUAGGUGUGAAUCACGCCACACUUACGGACAAGAGGCUACAAGACAUUUUUAGGAAAAGUUUCCCUUCUUUCAGUAUUCAUGUCAUGUAAAUGAGCAUGAGCUCAGAUUAAACUCCCUUUAUAAUCCAAUCUUCCUUCUAUUUACAGUGAACAUGCCUCCUACAAAUAAUAACAAAAGAUGAAACAGGUAUUAGCCCGCACCUCGCCCAUUCAGGAAGAUCCCCUAAAUGAGUAUGUUUUGCAUGUAGAGUUCAAAGAUGUAUUCAUUACUCUGCCUUACUCUGUACGAUCUCAGAAAAAUCAGCCAGCUGUUAUCCCAGAAAACCUAGUGGCUAAUACCACCGCAUCUAAGAUUUGGGAAUUCACCCGAAUGAAUCCUUCUCUAUUUUUGGGAUCCAAGUCUGAUGAGGAUCCAUAUGGAUUCCUUGACAUAGUUUAGAAGGUAACAAAAAUUAUGGGUGUGACUUCUAUUUAUAGUGAAGAAUUGUUUGUUUACCAUUUACAAAAUGUAGCUCACACUUGGUCUAAGCAGUGGAAUGGGGAUAGAGACGCAGAUGUAGGACCUGUAGAAUGGGAGGAGUUUGCUAUGACCUUUUUAGAUAUAUUCAAUCCUUUAGAGUUUAGGCAAGCUAAGGUUUUGGAUUUCAUUAAUUUGAAGUAGGGAAAAAAAAGUGUGAAGGAGUAUUCUCUUGAGUUUACUCAACUAGCCAGGUAUGCUCCUCAUGUGGUGGCUAAUAACAUGUCUAGGAUAAGCAAGCUUAUGUUUGGUGUAUCUGAUAAUAUGGUCAAGGAGUGUAGGACCACAAUGUUUAUUAAGGAUAUGGACUUGUCUAGGCUUAUGGCCUAUGCUCAAUAGAUUGAGGAAGAGAAGGUUAAGGAGAAAGAAAGAGAGAACAAGAGGGCUAGGACAGGUAGUUUCAACUUUGCUCAGCUGAGAUCAGAGCGUAGUAACCAUCCCUGAUCCUAUCAAAAAUCUUCAGCUCUGGCUCCAUCUUAAGCUAGUACUCUUAUGCAAAAGUUCAGAAAUGACAAUCAGGAUAGAGCGCCAGGAUCUAAGUCCCAAGGUAAUGUAAACAUAGGUUGCACAAAUCCUCUUUUCAAGAAAUAUGGUAGAAACCAUCAAGGUGAGUGUAGAGCCGAAAGUGAUGUAUGCUUUAGGUAUGGCAAGCCAGGCCACCAAAUCUGGAAGUGUCAGGUAGUUUCUCUAAAGGGAAGAGAUUUGCGCCAACAGGGCUAGACCCAUCUAUCUUCAGCUCCAGCAGGGCACCCAAUAUAUCAGGGCGCCACCUCCAAUGCCAUCAGCGGUCAACGCCAGAACAGACUAUAUGCACUUCAAUCUCGAUAGGAUCAUGAAAGUUCUCUGAUUGUGGUUUUGUAUAUGUUGCAGGUCUUUCAUUUACAUGUAUAUACUUUGUUAUAACUUGGAACCUAACUUUAUUUUAUAACCCCCUAUAUAGUUAUUAAUUUUGGUGUCCGUCCUAAACCCUUCUUAGGGUCCACUCUAGUAGGUGUCUCAAUUAUAGCAAGGCAGGUAUACAGAAACUGACCGAUCAUAAUAUCCCAGAAAGUCAAUUUAGUUGAACUUGUGGAGUUAGAGAUGAUCAAUUUUGAUGUCAUUCUCUGCAUGGAUUGGCUCCACUCAUGUUAUACCUUAGUUGAAUGCAGAAAUAAGGUCAUUCCAUUUUAGUUUCCGAAUGAACUAGUCCUUGAAUUGAGGGGUAGUACUUAAUCCCUUAGGGGUCAACUUAGUUUAUAUCUUAUAGUGAGAAAAGUAAUAUCUAAAGGAUAUGUUUAACAUCUUGUUUCAGUCAAAGACUCUAGUUUUGAUACUCUCAAUCUCGAGUCGAUUCAGUAGUGAGGGAAUUUCUAGAUGUGUUCCCUCAAGACCUUCUCGUAGUUCCUCACAAAAGGGAAAUUGACUUCAAAUAGACCUUAUUCUAGAUACCCAGCCUAUAUUUAUUCUGCCAUAAAGAAUGGCUCUAGAUGAACUAAAAGAUUUGAAAGAACAGUUAGAAGACCUCCUAGAUAAGGGAUUCAUAGGCCUAGUGUUUCCGCAUAGUGAGCUCCAGUCCUUUUCAUGUUAAGAAAGAUGGUUCCCUUAGAAUAUGUAUUAAUUACCAUCAGUUGAACAAAGUCGCCUUUAAGAAUAAAUAUCCACUCCCUAAAUCGAUGACUUAUUUGACCAACUUCAGGGUACCAAUUAUAUCUCUAACAUAGACCUUAGAUCCAGCUUUCAUCAGCUCAAAGACAAAAAAUGUGACAUUCCAAAAAUAGUUUUCAAAACUCGAUAUGGUCACUUCAAAUUCCUAGUCAUGUCUUUUGGACUAAUGAAUUCCGUAGCAGCUUUCAUGGACUUGAUGAACAGAGUGUUCAAAUAGUUCUUGGGCAUGUUCUUCAUAAUCUUCAUUGAUGACAUUCAUAUCUAUUCCCACGGUGAAAAUGAUCAUGCAGACCAUCUCAAAAUUGUAUUGCAAACUCUUAGAGCCCAUCAGUUGUUCGCCAAAUUUAGUAAAUGCAAAUUUUGGCAAAGAUCAGUAGCUUUCCUUGGCGAUAUUAUUUUUGGUGAUAGAAUUAGGGUUGAUUCUUAAAAGACCAAAGUAGUGAGAAAUUGGCCUAGACCAAUCUCUCCAUCAGAUAUCAGGAGUUUCUUGGGUUUGGAUUGCUAUUACCCAUGAUUUGUUAAAAGUUUUUCAUCUAUUGUGUCCCCCAUGUUUAGAUUAACAUAGAAGAAAGUCAAGUUUCACUGGUCAGAUUCUUGAGAGAAGAGUUUUCAGGAGUUGAACCAUCGACUCACCUCAGCCUUAGUUUUGACAUUGCCAAACGAUUUAGAGAGAUUUGUUACUUACUGUGCUGCUUCUAGAGUUGGUAUUGAUUGUACGUUGAUGCAAAGAGGUAAGGUCAUAGGCUAAGCCUCUAGAUAACUUAAACCACUUGAAAAGAAUUAUCAUACCCAUGAUCUUAAGCUAGUUGUUAUCAUUUUUGCCUUGAAAUUUUGGAGGCAUUAUCUCUAUGGGGUGCAUGUUGAUGUGUUCACGAACCGCAAAAGCUUGCAGUAUUUAUUUUCAUACAAAGAUUUGACUUUUUCAUUAGAAAGGAUGGUUGGAGUUUUUGAAAGACUAUAAUAUGAGUGUUUUGUAUCACCUGGGCAAGGCCAAUAUAGUAGCAGAUACCCUUAGUAAAUUGUUGAUGGGUAGUGUUACCCAUGUUGAGAAUAAUAAGAAGUUAGUUCAAGAGGUUCAUCAGCUUGCUAGAUUAGGUGUCGUUUGGUUGAUUCAAUUAAGGAUAGUGUUUGGGUUCAGAGUAGUUCAAAAUCUUCAUUGGUUUCCAAAGUAAUUAGGAAGCAAUAUAGGGAUCCCAGUUUAGCUAAUUUGAAAGUAUCAGUGAGAGACCAGAAAGUUAAGGUUUACUCCCAAGGGGUAGAUGGUAUACAGCGUCGUCAGGGUAGUCUGUGUGUUCUAUGUGUUGAUAAUUUGAGGCAGCAGAUUCUUGCAGAGGCACGUGGUUUGCGUUACUCUAUUCACCCAGGAUACACUAAGAUGUACCAUAAUUUAUGAGAAAUCUAUUAGUGGAGUGGUAUGAGGAGAUACAUUGCACAGUUUGUGUCUAAGUUUUCUAACUUUAAGUAGGUUAAGGUUCAGUACUAGAGGCCUUAUAGCACCUUACAGGAUUUUUGCAUUCCCACUUGGAAGUGAGAAGAGGUGAACAUGGAUUUUCUGACAGACUUGCCUCAUACGCCUCAUCAACAUGAUUGGAUAUAGGUCAUUAUACAUAAAAUGACCAAAUUGACCCAUUUCCUGUUAGUCCAUACUUUUUAUUCGGUCGAGGAUUAUGUGAAACUCUAUCUCAAAGAAUUGGUUAGGUUGUAUGGAGUCCCAUUAUCUAUCAUUUUAGAUAGAGGUACCCAAUUUACCUCUCACAUUUAGAGGGCUUUUCAGAAAGGUCUUGGCAUCUAAGUUCAUCUUAGUACAUCUUUUCAUCCUCAGAUAGAUGGUCAAGCAGAGACGACCAUUGAGAUCCUAGAGUAUAUGUUAAGGGUGUAUGUUCUUGAUUUAAAAGAUAGUUGGGAUGCUCAUUUACCCUUAAUUGAGUUUGCCUACAAUAAUAGUUAUCACUCUAGUAUUCAGAUGGCUCCGUUUGAGGCUCUUUAUGGGAGAAGAUGUUGAUCUUCUAUUGGUUGGUUUAAGGUAGGUAAGACUAUAGUAUUAGGGCCUGAUUUAGUGUAUGAUGCAAUGAAAAAUGUUUAGGUAAUUAGGGAGAUGCUUAAGAUAGCCCAAAUCCAACAGAACUCCCAUACAGAUGUGAGGAGAAGAGAUCUUGAGUUUGAGGUUGGUGACUUUGUCUAUCUAAAAAUAUCUCCCAUGAAGGGGCUGAAAAGAUUUGGAAAAAAAGGGAAGCUCAAUUCUUAAUAUGUUGGCCCUUGUAAAAUCUUGAGCCAUUCAGAAUCAAAUUGCAUACUAAAUACCCUCUCUUUUCUCUAAAAAUUCAGAUUCAGCUUAAGGUAAUGAUUUUCCUCAGAUUGACUCUCUUUAGUUCUCAGUUUCAGCUGUGUAAUCCAUCUCAUGUCAUUACAUACAUUCAUGGAUGUCUCUUCAGUCCAUGUAUCAUGUUUUAGACUCGGUUAUGCUAUCAUGUUCCCAUUCACACAUGUUCAGUAUAUGAUCUCAGAUUCUUCAGUACUCCCAGCUAAACUAGCCUCAUUCGAGGACGAAUGUUCCCAAGGGGGAGAUAUUGUAAUACCUCAAAAAUCAAAACCAAUAUCAAAAUCAUGCUUCAAGCUUGUGAAAAACAAAUUAUAGUGAUUUUGUAAUUAUAUGAGGGAGUUUGAUUCAUAUUAAGACAUCAAAUGACUCCUAACUUUUAGAUAAAUCAAAAUAUCCCUUACCAAUUGAGUUCUUGUUAAGAAUGUUUCUAUAGUCAAAUUCAAAACCACAUAAAUUUUGUAUUAAUAAGAGUUUUUUAUAUCAAUACCAACCAAUAGAUAUAUAAUUAAAUUAUCUUUCCAACGAUACUAAUUUUGCCUUAAUCCGAUAUCGGGGUAAAAAGUUAUGCCCGUUUUACCAGAGAGGUGUCUGUCUAUCAAGAUGCGAUAGCCAAGGUGACGGACUAUCAAGCCAGUGAUGGACCGUCAACCCAGACAGAUAAACUUAGGUAUAAAGGUCGAAUUCUGGCCAUAUAUUUAUGGUUGGAGUGACGGUCAAUCAUCAAAAUGAUGGUCUGUCACCCAGACCAUCAAUCGGGGUCGUUUAGUGAUUAAAUGACACUUUUAAUGGGGGCUUUUGGUCUUUUUCCACCCUUUUUAGUCCCUAUUUUGAUCAACAUAAAUCCUCAUUUACUCUCAAUAUCAAAUUAGGGUAUUCUUUCAAGAUCAUUCCUCUGGAACAAGAUUCAAGCCCUUCUUCAAGAAAACCAAGAAAUUGUGCUUCCCAAUACAAGAACGUUCAAGAAAAGUUAAUUCUCCUUCAAGAUUAAAUCUUUAAGGUAUGUUAAAUGCUCAUCCAUAGGUCAUUUUCACUCAUGGAUUCAUAGAACCCCUUUUCAAGUUCAAAGUUAUGAUGUUUACGUGUUAGUAUGAAUUAUAUCCAUGAAAUUUCUUGAAUUUCGAUUAUGUAUCAUGUUUACAAAUUAUUUUUGUUGAAAUUACCCUUGAUACGUUCAAAUGGUGAUAUUCACAUAUUAAAUCCUUAACCCAUGUUUUUAAUAUUGUAAUUAUGUGAUUAUUACAUAAUUUAACUACUUCCAUGCUUUAACUCAUGACCCCUAUAUGUUUGAUAAAAUGCCUAGAUGAAUGGGUUUUCAACAAUGACUACUUAUGAUGUCCUCAAAGUUGUAUUAUGGUUCUAUUGUUAUUCAUAUCGAGUCCUGGGGGUUAUGAAUACCCGAAAACUUAGUUGUUUACUUAUUCUCAGUAUCUUCAGUAGGGUUUCAGAUAUAUUAUAAGCAUUAUCAGUUUAGUUAGCUAUCAUAAUCAAUUAAACUUAGAUUAGUUCAAUAUUUUGAGUCAGUUCUAUUAGGAGUAGGAUUUAGCACCGAGCGAAUAUAGGGAUUACAUCUUCCCCAUCAGUCAGGCAGAGUCGUUAGUAGCAAAACUACUUAGCCAGUGCAGGAUAUGAGGAGUCACCCAUCAGUUUAGGAUUGACUUCCUCUCAAGGGUCACCUAUCAAUUUAGGGUUGAUACCCUAGUCCUUCGAGACAUCAGUUUAGUGCAUCCACAUAGACAUUGUUAGUACCCGUGGCAUGGUAUUGACACCCUUCCAACUGGGGUCACAGGUUGGACCCUAAUUAGCUCAUAUUAAGGCAUGUCAGUUAGAUGAUAGCUCUCAUAGUCUCAAACUAGUAUUCAAUACAGAGUUCAGUUGACCAGAGCAUAUAAUUACCAGUUAUUCAGUUAUUAGUAUGUCAGUAUUUUAGUUUAAAGACUAUUUCAGAAUCAUAUUAUAUUCUUGGUCAUGCAUUCUCAAAUUUCAUAGUUUUCAUGAGUUUGUAUAUAGUUAACUCAUGCUAUUCAUUCAGUCAGUUAUUAUUCAUGCUUAUGAACCCAUGCAUAUUAUCCUAACCUCAUCUAGCAUACCGGUACAUUAAAAGUACUGAUCGUAUACUCAUUUCUUGCGCUAUGAUGUUUAAUAUCAUAGGUUCGGUCGCUCAGGUUCCCGUUCGUAUUUAUACAUUUCAAUGUAUCAGCAGCAGCAAUAGUGGUUAGUCCUCAUCAAUAGAGGACAUGGUUGUAAUUUUAGUCUAUUUCAAUAUUUUAUUUCAGUUAGACAGUUAUAGUUAGUUGGGGACUAUCCCAUCAACUCUCUUUUGGACAGUUUAAGAGGCUUUCAGACAUUUUAGAUAGUCAGUCAGUUGUUGGUCUUGUCAGUCAGAUUUUUAAUAUUUUUGCAUAUGUUUCAGACAUUUGGAUUUUCAGCUGUAUUAUUUUCAAAUUUAAAACCUUAAGGUGUAUUCAGUUAUUCCGCACAUAUGUAUUUCAUUAUUAUUAUUCAAUGCUCAUAGCAAGUACCAGUUAAUGGGUUAGCUUGUUGUCUUUCGGGACCGUAAGCACUGUGCGGCAUCCAGGGUGUAUUUUAGUGGCGUUACAUAAGCACUCUUGGAACACAAGAAAAGCAUUACUAUUAUAACACGAGUAAUUCAAUUGCAGACCAUGACUUGACUCAAGAACACUCAAUCUUUCAGUACAUACAGAAAUUAAGAACUUGAGCAAUGUUACAAAGUUGAGUUUUCACCUAUUGUCUACUUUUAUAUUCUUGUUUUCCAAAAACUCACCAAAAGCUUUCUUUUCUAUUUAUAGUGAAAUAAUUAUUAGGGCAAAAAUAUGAUUAGGUAGGUGUCCUGACUGGUACACAUCUCACCUGCUCAGUUUUUUACACUAGACAACAAAACUGUGCAGGCUAUGUGAUGGCUAUAUAUUUCCAUGAAGACAUAGGGACCUGGUCCUUGUUGUUAGUUGAUCAUAAUCAAAACAAGAUAUAGCAUAAGUCAUAUGCCAUGACUAUGAGAAAUAUCACCUCUAUGAGCCAAAUGUCACACUAAGAGAGAAUAACAUCUCUAAAGGCCCAAUAUUAUAUCUAAGAGGAAAUAACAUCUUUAAAGGCCCGAUAUCAUAUCUAAGAGGAAAUAGCAUCUCGAAAAUACCAAUAUCAUAUCUAAGAGGAAAUAACAUCUCUAAAGGCCCACUAUCAUAUCUAAGAGGGAAUAACAUAUCUGAAGGCUCAAUAUCAUAUCUAAGAGGAAAUAACAUCUCUAAAGGCCCAAUAUCAUAUCUAUGAGGGAAUAACAUCUCUAAAGGUCCACUAUCAAUCUAAGAGGGAAUAACAUCUCUAAAGGCCAAAAAUUAUAUCUAAGAGGAAAUAAUAUCUCUAAAGGCCUAAUAUCAUAUCAUAGAGGAAACAACAUUUCUAAAGGCCCAAUAUCAUAUCUAAAAAGGAAUGACAUCUCUAAAAGUGCAAUAUCAUAUCUAAGAGGAAAUAAUAUCUCUAAAGGUCAAAUAUCAUAUCUAGGAGGAAAUAACAUCUUUAAAGGCCCAAUAUCAUACUUAAAAGGAAUAUCAUGGCAUAAGCCAUUAAUCAUUAUCUGGGAAAAAAUACAUCAUGACUCAUCAACUCGUAAAGUAACCUUAUUCCAAUGGAUUACUAAUCUUAACUAUGCCUAACAUUCACUAACAACUCCACAUGAGCUAACACAAGUCUUGGCCUAUGGUAGGCAAGAAGAACCCACUUCCAAUCCGCAAUUUCCAUAUUUAGGCAAUUUAUACCCCAAACUGGGCUAAGGUAUCUAGUUAAACUUCUAGAUGUCAAUUAAGUUAUAACCAAUCCUAGGAUAGAAACUUCAUCUAAAAACAUGGGUAUUAAAGUGAACUCCACCUAAAUUAUGGUUUCAAGAUCACCACAACAGCUCAAAUAAGGUUAAAUAUACCAACCACACUUCCAAUGCUAAAACCAUAUCCCAAACCUAGCAUUAUAUCAUAUCCAUUCAAUGAAUUAGUUCAAUCUACGUAAAAGGCAAUAAAAUUCUAAAAAGUGCAAUAAGUAUUUCAACUUACGGGUCAAAACCCUCUAUCAAUCCCCUAACUUCAAUAAUCAAGGCUAAGUCAAUCUACCCAUAGUCAAAUUUAACAUUCAUAUACAUACGCAAUGUAUAACAUGCAUCAUCUUACGGAGAAGAGUAGAUAAAAGCCUACCCCAAAGCCGAAAAUCAAAUCCUUAUAUCAUACACCAGACGUCCAUCUUCACUUCACAAUCACAAAAUGCCAUCACACUAUCAAAAUCGUUGUCACGCCCCAAAAUGAUAAUGACGGUCAAGAACCAUAUACACUACAUUACCAACACUAGGUGACAUACGCAAGAUUAUGGGACAAUAAUGGGUAAGAUAUGAAGUAUAAGCUAUGUAUAUACAUGAGGGAGUAAUAUUAGCAAAACUAGACAAUACAAUGCCUAACAUAGAUGUUUGCUAUCCAGAGGAUCUGAGCCUACAUUAAUAAAAUGUGGUGCCCAUGCAAGGUCAGUACACAAACAACAUGUAAUAGUAUAAAAGUAGACAAAAUAAUAGUUGGACAAGUACAGAAGCUUAUAUGAGUCAAAUAUCAAAGUGUAUGAUCCAACAAGUAACACAUAUACGAUAUGAACAGGUAACCUAUGCACCGAUCUUAUAGUAUCUUAUAUAAUAUUUAAAAAAGCAUUCAUUAAAAUACAAGUCCUAUAAUUUGCCUAGCUGAUGUAUUUAGCCUAUAAGUCAUACAAAUGAUCACAAGAUGGCUUACCAAAGGAAAUAUGAGUCAAGUAUAAAGCAUAUGUUGCUUAUAUAUUUAUUGCUAUGAUCCCAUAUGUAUAACUGUAAUCAUAGUCUGUAACCAGGUAUGCCCCACCUAGAGGCUCACUUGAGGGUCUGCCCAUAGUCCAUAUUUGCCAUAUAUUGGCUCGAGUCAUGGAAAACCAACGCAUAAUGUUUCAGCUGACUCCAAAUACAAAUAAUAUCACAAGGCUGGUAUGCCCAAUGGUUCGGCUCACUAUAAUGGUCUGAUCUCAACUUUGUGCACAGAAUCACAUUGAGUGAUUUGUGAAUCCAAACCUAUGUACCCUCCCAUCGUUAAUGUAUAUCAAAUAAUGCCUUGAAGGUCGAUAACAUUUAAAUUACGACAAUGAUCGAUUAGCUAACACAUACAAGUGCAACUAUGUUGUUACUAUUUACUUUUACUCCUAACUUAUGAUAUACAUAUAUAUUUUGGCCUAUGGGCUUCAAGUAAAGAAACUUAUGAUAGUAUAGAAGUAUCAUGGGAACUUACACAAAGAGAAAAAGAUAGAUACUUAUGAGCUUGAUGGUAGAACGUGGGAAUGAUAUGUAAGGCAAUAUAAAUAUUUUACUUUCGUAUUUCAUGAGAAUUUUAUUAACAUUAUUAGGAAGAAGCAU